GUUUUUUGCUCUCCGAUUGAAUGCAACUUGAAGUACGUGACUCCUCGAUUUUCCUUAGAUGAAUGGAAAAACUUUUUAGAACGAAUGGGGUGUGAAAACUUGGAUACAUUAAAAGAUGAAGGCAAGGAGGAAGAACUUAGGAGCUGGGCUUCUUUUCGAGGGCAAACACUGAGCCGAUCAGGUGAGAAAAAAAAAAUUCAUUAACUAUUUUAUAAAGCUGAUCCAAAUAGGUAAGAAAAUGAAUUAUCAGAAUUUAACCUCCUCUUUGUUGGUUAUCACAGUUAGAGGAAUGAUGUACUAUGAAGAGGCCUUAAAAUUACAAGCAUUCCUUGACAUGGCUGAAGAUGAAGGUUUGUGGUAUUGAAUGGGAUAGUAGUAUUUAGCAGCAGCAUUUGUUUUUCACAAUCCAAUAUUUUAUGCAAUAUUUCCUGACUAUAGCAUGAGGCUGCUAUAUGGCACCUUUCUUCUUUGCCUGAGAUUAUAUAUGGAGGAGAUAGCUUCAUUUAAACUUUAACACCAUGUCAUCAAUUCUGUUCAUCCAGAUAUUCUUGAAGGCUAUGAAGCUGCUGAAAGGAAUAAUCGUACAUUAUUUGCUCAACUAGAUGCAUUGUCAGACAUGAAAUUCACAUAUGUGGUUUCUUGUCAAAUGUUUGGAUCACAAAAAGCUUCAGGAGACCCCCGUGCACAAGACAUGAUUGACUUGAUGAUUAGGUAACUAAUUAUUUGCCAGACAUGAUAAAAGUGAAUAUGUUGGAGUAUUUUGAUAUGCAAUUCAUUGAUCAUAUUUAAAAGUUACCUAAAUGCAGCUAUGGAUUAUUGCUUAUUUGCUCGAAGGUACCCAUCUCUACGUGUUGCUUAUGUGGAAGAGAAAGAAGUGUUUGAUGCAAAUAAGCCUAGGAAGGUUUAUUCUUCCAUAUUGGUUAAAGGAGUCAAUGGCAAGGAUCCAGGGGCAGAGGUAUUAAGAGUCUGGUACACAAUAAUAAUAGCUUACUGAAAGGAACUAACCACCAGUAAAUAAUGUAAUAGCUCUUACUCUGUAGGAUUACAAGCCAUGAAUCAUUUACUAUAAUCUUGUGCAUUCUUGCCCCCCAUUUCAUCUGCCUUUUCCCAGAACUUGUACAGUUGUAACAGUUGGUUGUGGUACUCUUUUAUUAUGUAGGAAAUAUAUCGCAUCAAACUUCCUGGUCCACCAAAUAUUGGAGAAGGGAAGCCUGAAAAUCAAAAUCAUGCCAUAAUUUUCACACGUGGUGAAGCUCUACAGACAAUUGAUAUGAACCAAGUAUGCUUUUACUGUAGUAGCUACAUGUUAAUGAUUCCCAUGGCUUCGAUUCUUAUUUUUUUUCUGGUUAUGCAGGAUAAUUAUUUGGAAGAAGCCUUAAAAAUGAGAAAUCUUCUACAAGAAUUUCUUCAGAACCAUGGACGGCGGCCCCCCACAAUACUUGGUCUGAGAGAACACAUCUUUACAGGAAGGUUUGAUCCUCAUUUCCUAUAAGUUGUAAAUAACACAUGGUCCACACCUUGUGCCCGCAUGGGUAAUCACUAAAAAUAUGGCAAUAAAAAAGAUUCAGAAAAGUUACCUUGGGAAUUUGUUGUAAAGACCAUGAAUUGAACAUAAUGUUCAAUUGGUUACACCUAUGUUACAUUGCUCUCUGAUUAAAAUAAUUUCCACCAUUGUAUUAGUUUCAGUUUGCAUCUACUAUAGUUCCACAAACCUAUAAAAGUACACUAGUGAUAAGAUCAUACAGACUGAGAAACUUAAAUUGUCUCCCAUUAUGCAGUGUUUCUUCUCUGGCAUGGUUCAUGUCAUAUCAGGAGACUAGUUUUGUUACCAUUGGUCAACGGCUUCUUGCCAAUCCUCUCAGGUAAUGGAUAUAUAUUGCUUCAGGCUUAAUGCUUCACGUAAUUUUGGUAUAAAUAUGCGUGCAUACGUUGUUUGCCUGCGAAUGCAGAAUACCUAGCGGCUUACUGUUUUUCUACUAAGCUUGGUGCUUCAAAUAAAAAUUAACAAAAACGUUUGGUUGAAUGACUCUUGUCAGUUGCAUAUGUGUCCAUACUCCAAUGGUUGUAUCUGCUCUGGCAUUGCAUAAUCUGUCUUCACUAAUUCUUGUCCUGUUAUGGCAUUUAACCAUAAUAUUUUCCAAGUCUCUUCGUGUUUUUGUAUAUCCUCAGUCCUCUAAUCAAUUGACUUUUAAUUUCUUUGCAUCUCAUCUUUUUAGGGUACGAUUCCACUAUGGACAUCCUGAUGUAUUUGAUAGGGUGUUUCACAUUACAAGAGGUGGCAUUAGCAAAGCAUCCAAAACAAUUAAUUUGAGCGAGGAUGUUUUCGCCGGUACAAUAUAUUUUUGUCAUUUCAAUUAAAUAAUUAAUCGUAUUGUCAAAGUUGAUCCGCUGCUUUCUGAUUCAGGAUUUAAUUGUACCUUAAGAAGGGGAUGCAUCACCUACCAUGAGUAUAUACAAGUGGGCAAAGGUCGUGAUGUAGGCCUAAACCAGAUCUCUAAGUUUGAAGCCAAAGUUGCUAAUGGGAACAGUGAACAAACUUUGAGCCGUGACAUACACCGCCUUGGUCGUCGGUUUGAUUUUUUCCGGAUGCUAUCUUGUUACUUUACAACCAUUGGAUUUUAUUUUAGUAGCAUGGUAAGUGGUUUAAAGUCUUGACAAGUUCCUUAUUUUUAGUUAAAUUUAUCUGUUUAUGCUGGUUGAUGUUCAAUAUCUAGUGAUUCUAUCUUCUUCCUAUUGUGCUUAUUAAUAUAUAAUAAACAAAAAUUUUGAUAUUUCGGAAAAAAACACAACAAAUAUUUUGCAGAUUUCAGUCAUUGGAAUUUAUGUAUUCCUCUAUGGUCAGCUAUACUUGGUUCUUAGUGGACUGCAAAAAGCACUCAUGAUUGAGGCUAAAAUGAGGAACAUACAAUCAUUAGAAGCUGCCCUCGCCUCUCAAUCAUUUAUCCAGCUUGGGCUUUUAACAGGCUUACCAAUGGUAAUGGAGAUUGGCUUGGAGAAAGGAUUCCUCAAUGCCCUUAAAGAUUUUGUCCUCAUGCAAUUGCAGCUUGCUGCUCUUUUCUUCACUUUCUCGCUCGGUUCAAAAACUCAUUAUUAUGGUCGAACAAUUUUGCAUGGGGGAGCUAAGUAUAGACCUACUGGACGUAAGGUCGUGGUGUUUCAUGCCAGCUUCACUGAGAAUUACAGAUUAUAUUCACGAAGUCACUUUGUUAAAGGAUUUGAACUAUUACUUCUGUUGAUUGUCUAUGAUUUAUUCAGGCGGUCAUAUCAGAGCAACAUGGCAUAUGUGUUUAUCACUUACUCCAUUUGGUUCAUGUCAAUCACUUGGCUGUUUGCACCAUUUUUGUUUAAUCCUUCUGGAUUUAGUUGGGGUAAGAUAGUAGAUGACUGGAAAGACUGGAAUAAGUGGAUCAGGGUGCAAGGUGGCAUAGGCAUUCCACAGGAUAAAAGUUGGCAUUCUUGGUGGAUUGACGAGCAAGCCCAUCUGCAUCGUUCAGGGUUGGGUGCUAGGUUGUUUGAGAUUCUUCUUUCUCUUCGAUUUUUUAUCUAUCAGUAUGGUUUGGUCUAUCACCUAGACAUCUCCCAGCAGAGCAAAAAUUUUCUGGUUUAUGUGCUUUCAUGGAUUGUGAUUCUUGCGGUUUUCCUCACAGUCAAGGUAAAAUUGUUCCACUUCGAAUGAAAUUUCAUUAAGGUUCAAUGUAGAUCUAAGUAGUUGUUGCAUAUUGUAAGCUCAGUCUUUGUAAGUCACUUGAUUAAGAAGCAUUACUUUAGUUGUGAUCUACUCGUUACGCUAACUCGAUCUGAAACAUGAUGUGCAGGCAGUGAACAUGGGAAGACAACAAUUCAGUGUCAAUUACCACCUUGUGUUUAGGUUCAUCAAAGCGUUCCUCUUCCUUGGUAUUCUAUCUACAAUAAUUUCACUUUCUGUCAUCUGUCAACUAUCUUUCAAGGACAUAAUCGUGUGUUGUCUAGCAUUUUUGCCAACGGGAUGGGGUCUAAUAUUGGUAAGGGUUAAAAACAUUCUCGUUCUUUAUUCUUAAACAAUUUUACUCUGUUCUAUCUAUAUUUUGUUUCAUAAACAUUUCGGUUUCUUCAGAUUGCGCAAGCUGUGAGGCCAAAGAUAGAGAAUACAGGAUUAUGGGACUUCGUAAAGGUUCUUGCUAAAGCGUACGACUAUGGAAUGGGGGUCGUUCUUUUUACGCCCAUAGCUGUUCUGGCUUGGCUCCCCAUCAUAUCAGCCUUCCAGACUCGCUUCCUUUUCAAUGAGGCCUUCAAUAGGCAUUUGCAAAUUCAACCAAUUCUUGCCGGGAAGAAAAAGCACAGAUAAUUUUUUGCAGCAGAGUGGCAAGUACUUGUUUAUAACAGUAUUAGAGUUGAGUACAUUAGUAGGUAUAUUUUCAAUACAUGUCAAUAAUUUAGUGUAUAGCUGCAAUUCAAGUAAGAUUAUAUAAAAUAGGAAUAGAAGUUCAACAGCGAAUAUUCAAUUACCUAUUUUAGAGGAUAGAAACUGAACCCAUGUCAUUCAUUUAUCAAUGAGUUCUUAAUAUUCUGAUAAAGCAAUUGUCUUGUAUGUCAUCUCUCCGGCUUUGUUUUAUCACAUAACUUUCUUUUCUCCAAGCUAAGUGGAUUAUUAAAAAUAGGGAAGUAACAUCACUGUGAGUCUGUGACUGACCGAAAUUUUAUGGAGACUUUUUUUUUUGUCCAAAUUACAUGAAUCUCUAUUUUAAUAAUUAUAUUCAUAUAAAAUAAAAUUGAGUUACUUUAAUCAAAGGAUAUACAAUUAUCUUAAAAUGAAGAAGUGAUAUGGUGAGCGAUAAACGAUGAUACUCAACUAAUAAAACUUCUCCUAAAAUAAAUUCAUGUGCUCACUUUUAAAUACAAUUAAUCUCAUUACUAAUAAUAAGUAGCAAUAAAAACCCACUCGAGCAACAAAGCUUGUGAGAAGCGCAUUUUAUUGCUGCUUGUGAGCAGAAAAGAGAACUACAAACCCAUUGACACACUCAUCGUUUUCAUUUGCUUCUGGCCACAAAAUAUGAUCUUACGUUCACAUUUUGCUCGUAACCAUCGCCAAUCAAUCAUUCAAUCUCUUUCUUCUGCUUCAACAAUCACUCGUAAAAGAACUUUCGCACUCGCUUCUCCUUCAGCUUCGCAUCAAGAUUCUGAUCACCACGCCUACAAACUGAAUCACAAAGACUGGCUCUCACCAACCGAAGUCUUGAAAAUCUUUUCAAAUCUCAGAGACCCCAUUUCAGUAAUUUCAGUUUUGAAUCAAUACUCCAAGAGAAAAGACUACAAUCCGAAUGAAGCUCUUUACACUCUUAUCAUCAACAAGCUUGCUCAAGCCAAACGCUUCGAUGCCAUUGAAGACAUAAUGCAAAGAAUAAAAGUUGAAAAACUGUGUCGUUUUUCAGAUGGAUUUUUUUAUAAUGUGAUCAAAAUUUAUGGAAAUAUGGCUGGGAGAAUUAGCAAAGCAAUUGAGACCCUUUUUGAUAUGCCAAGUUAUAAUUGUUGGCCGAGUGUCAAAACGUUCAAUUUGGUGCUCAAUUUGCUUGUUUCGGCCAAACUGUUUGGUGAGAUACAGGGGAUUUACACUAGUGCUGCUAAGCUUGGAGUUGAGAUUGAUGCUUGUUGUCUUAACAUUCUUCUUAAAGGGUUGUGUGAAAAUGGGAAUUUGGAGGCUGCAUUCUACGUGCUCGAUGAAUUUCCUAAACAAAAUUGUGAGCCCAAUGUGAGGACGUAUUCGACGUUGAUGCAUGGUUUGUGUGAGAAGGGAAAUGUGGAGGAAGCAUUUGGGUUGCUUGAGAGGAUGGAAAGUGAGGGAAUUGAUGCUGAUACGGUAACGUUUAAUAUAUUGAUUUCGGGCCUUAGGAAGCAAGGCAAGGUUGAGGAGGGAAUGAAGCUUUUGGAGAGGAUGAAGGGUAAAGGGUGUUAUCCAAAUUCAGCGUCUUAUCAAGAGGUUUUGUAUGGUUUGCUUGAUAAGAAGAGGUUUCCUGAGGCGAAAGAGCUUGUAGGUAGGAUGAUUUGUGAACGUAUGAGUCCUAGUUUUGUGUCCUACAAGAAGUUGAUUCAUGGACUUUGUAAUCAGAAGCUGGUUGAGGAUGUGGAUUGGGUAUUGAAGACGAUGGUGCAACAAGGUUUUGUUCCGAGGAUGGGGAUGUGGAGGGAGAUCGUUGGAUGUGUUACUUUUGGGAAAGACAAUCGUAACCGUGUUUACGUCACAGAAACUGUUGAUAGCUUGGCCAGUUGAGGUUGAUCCAUGAAUGGGAAAAUUAUGUCUUGCUCUGUUGGCCUGUAGAUGGGUAUGCUUCAAGGGGUUUAGAACUGAUCGUCGGACAUAAAAUGGAGGGCGAUGAAGAUGCCUUUGGCUUAAACCAUCAUAAAGAUUUUGAUGAAUUGGUUUGAUCAUGGUCUUCAAUUUGACACCACCAUGCCUGGACCUUUCAAUUGUCUGAGAUUAAUGUCAACUGCUGUACCACUCUCAAAGGAAAAAGAUGUGGAUGCCUAUAUACUCUCUUUUUGUCCAGCCACAUAUGUAUCUCUAAACUUCAGCAGCAAAUUGGCGAUGCUGUAGAAUUAAGUUCUCAGACUCAGAAUCGAUUGUAAUUGUUCGACCUCAAGCUUUAUGCAAAAUUUCCAAAAACAGAAGAGUUGAAAAUUUGCAUUGAAGUGGUUUCUGUAAUAUGCUAUACAUGUGCUAACAAGUAAUACAAACAUACCAACCAAAUGAAAAUGCAAUAUCUAAAAAGCAGUUUCUGACAUUCUAUUUGGAUGCGAUACAAUCUAAUCAAAAAAUGCGCAAAACUUAAACGUUCAUUUCGUAAUUCACACCUAUUUUGCAAUGGUAAAAUUACUAUGAGACAUCAGUUUCAGCUCCUCGGUUUAUAUCCUCUGCCCCCUUCAGAUCCCCUUCAGAAAGCUCAGGUUUUAUGAACUCGAUCUGCCCAUCAUCAACCCCCUCAGUUUUGUUCACCUCAUCAUCAUCUUUCUUUUCUUCACUAUCAGCACUCACUUUAUCUGUUUGGCCUAAUAUGUCUGCUUCAGGAUCACUUGAACUUGUCCGCGUGAUCUGUUCCUUGGUAUCACAGUUGUCAUCUCUAGUGGAGCAGGAGCUCAUGGGAAUGGGAAAAUCAGGAAUCCUUUCAAGUCUAGAGGAUGGAAGAGAUUCAUCAUCAGAGGAAUCAGAAUCAACAUAAAGUUCUCGUUCUGUCACCGGUGAUGUACCUCCUCGACGCUUUGUUGAAUCUUUCCGAGAGAAGGCAUGUUUUAUGCUGCGAGCAUGUUUCUCAGCAUGUUUCAUGAUGCUCUUUGCCAUACCUUUCACAUGUCCCCUGCUAGGACUUUCUGGACCACUUUCGUCCGAACUCACAUUUAUAUCUUUUGUAGCCUUAACAGGAAUAGACCCUGAAAGGCUGUCUUCCACUAUGAACUUCACACCAACGUCCUUUGUAUUGACUGCUCUAAGGUUGACACGUGGAGAAGGAACAGCCUCUCCAAUGCUUCCUGCAUGAUCUUCCUUUCUAGAAUUCCUCUGAAACAUAGAACCAAUCUUCCGUAGGCCCCGUCUUAUUGAAUUUUUUCCCUCCUGAUUAUCAUCAGUGCUGCUGCUGUCAUUGUUCAAGGAUCCAGAUGCGGCAGAAUUGGUACUGUUAAAGGAACCAUUAGGCACUCUGCGGACCAGGGUAUCCAAGCGCCUGUUCUUACCCUUUCUAGGCUCCCAUGUCUGAGCUACUUCACUUCCUGGUUGAUGGACCCAUAUCCCAGUCUCUUGUUGCCCCUCAAUGUUGAUGGGUUCAAAAUUAUCUACCACCUUUGGUGACUUCUCUGACGAUACAGACGAAAAGGAACCCUUGUCAGUAGUUUCAUUCGCAAAGGAUUCCUGUAUAUCUUUCUUGUUGCUUUGAUCCUCCUUGUUUCCCAUACCUUCCUUGUUUAAUGUUCCCCCGUCACAUGGACUAUCAACCCCCUGCUGAAAUUAUGCCAACAGUUCACAUGAAACUUUACUGCUUACCUCGGCAGAAGUGUUUCAUCACAAUUUAAAACAAUAUGUCAAACUGUUAUAUUUUUACUAGUCACUGAAAGCUGAUACAACAGACCUUUGCACUCUCUUCAAGAACUGUUAUUGCGAGAUGCAGCCUGCCUAUUUUAAUGUUCUGAAGAGGUAUCCACAUGUCGUGUCUCUGGCCAUCCCUAAGAUCACUGAUAUUUAUGGUACAAUCACUGUGAAUAACAGAAAAUUAAGUCAAAUAUAGCAAUUGCAGAACAAGCUUUCAUUAGAUCAUGAAAAAUUAGAAUUAAAGAUUGGUAACUAAGCAAGAAAAAUUAAGAAAAAUGAAGGCAGGGGGAAAAACAAAGAAAAUGACUGCCAGAACAAAAGUGCAAGUCAUACCAUAGAAUCUUAUUUUAUAAAUCCCUAUUCAAAAUAUUUUUAGUAAUUCUAAAGGGCAUGCACCAGUAACUUACUAUAAAUGUAAACAAGAAAACUUUUAAAUAAUGACGGCCCGGUAUCCUUACAGCCAAUAUAAAAAGAGAAGUCAAACACUUUUAAGUUCUUUAAGACUACCUCAAGGAACUUCAGGGAAAGCAUCAAAUUCUUCCAAAGGGCAAAAGUAAGAGAGGCAUCAACAUUUCCACCCUUUUCUCUGUACUACACUAUGCUUUAACAAUAUUUCUUCUCAUUGCAAAAUAAAUAUGCAUCAUACUGAUAUCCAAAUUUUGUUAUCUGACUGCCUGUUAUUUGGGGAAUAAUGGCUCCAAAGAAAGAAGCUGUAUAAGCUAAACCAAAUGCGCAUAAAAUCUUAGUAAUUUGGCAUUUAUCGCAUGAAAACCAUAAAUUAAGUGCCGCAAUAGUAGAAUCUCUUAUAGAUGUUUUAUUUGAUUGUUUAUUGUUCUUAUUGAAAAAUGAAAAAAAUGUGAUAGGAAGAUACCUGAAAACCUCAAUGUACAUAAUUAUGAACAAUCAAAAGAAAAAAACAAAACUGCAUUGCCUUUUUUAUAGCAUUAAGUGCAAAGGUUUGCCCCUUAGUACACGAUGUUAUAUAGCAAGGUUUAGAAUAAUACCCAAGAGUAUCAUCAACGAAAUGGUCCUUAUCACGAACUUCAAUAACUAGCACAUUAGGAGAGUCCCAAGUACUUAUGGGAAUAUUAAAUUCCUCAUGCCAUUUUGGAGACAGUGUUUUCCUCUGUGUUUUUGUCCUGAAUCUGUAAGGGCCAAGUUGCCCCUUCACAUAUGGAUCAGCCAGACCUGAAAAUUUCAACCAGUCAUCGCAAAGAAAGAUUUGGAAUACUCUGUGACGGAACAAUGACAAAAAAAUAGUUUUUAACCAAACCAUUUAAAUCCGAUGGUUUCAUGUCAGAUGCUUCAACAACUUCAACUCUGGCAUAUGCAACUGGUUCCUUCACAUCAACAGAGAACCAAUUUCCUGACAAGAAUAUAAUUAAGGGAAUGAAUUUAACAUAUCAAUAGGGGGGAAAGAAAAGAAACUACAGCAUCCCGAACUAUGGCUAGCAAUACAGCAAUGAUCUUCAUAUUGACAUCUGUCUUCAGGUACAAUAUCCAGAUCCAUAUCCACAUCAUAAAGUGAUAUUGAAUAAAACAAAGUUAUUGUUCAUUUGGUUCUGGUAGUACAGCAAUGAUUAAAAUCUCAUAACUUAUGCCUGCAUUUUUUCACCCAACUUCCAUGAAAUAAUCUACUUAAGCUGAUAAACAAUAUACUCGCAUGUGCCCUUCCCACAUGCCAUAGCAAUCCACAUACCAUAUAAAGCAACCAUUUUUCUUUCCCAAAGCUUUUCAGUAGCUUAUUCAUUUUCAUUUAACCACAAGUAAUAUUUCUCAUAACUAUCAUAAGUUCACUUGAGCAUCUCUGUAUCUUACUUAAUACCUAGAGACGGUAAGAAGCCUGAUGGUUUUCUAAAUCUACCUUCCCUUCUAGACCUUACUACUCCGGCUCUUUCCUGGAUCUUAAAAAACGAGUGCAACCCUCUUGUACACUAAAAGAUCCCCUUAUUAAACCCGUAUCUCCACCAACCAAGUUACCUAUUCCAGCCUACAGAUUACCUACCAGUCAACUCCAAAAUUAUGAAGGAACCAUAUUCUACACCAAUGAAUAAUGAUAAACAGAAAAAAUUAUUAACUACUAUCAAAAGUUAUAAACCACAAAUUCGAAACACACUGCAGAAUCCCAGAAGAUUUAGGCUGUGAAUUACCUGGCUGUGGUGAAGCAAAUUUAUCCACAUCAACAACCAGCAUAUUGGGCUGUAAAAAAGAUCAAAUAUUAAGCCAAAACUCAAACCAAAAGAAACAUUGUUGGAUUUGAGAAUCUACAACUUCAUCCCAAAGUCGCGACACUGAUUUUUAGGUUAAAAAAGAAGAAGAAACUAACUACUACAUGUUUGUGAAAUUUAAGCAGCAAAUGAAACUAAAUGAAAGGACAGCUGCUAGUUUGAAGGGAGUAAGGAUAAAGAACUAACCUCCACAAGUGUCUGCUCAAAUGCUAUGGACAGGAGCUUGUCCUAGGAAAAGAAAAGAGAAAACACAUUGGACUUUACAGAAGGAGAGAGAUAUCAAACAAUUGAAAGUCAAUAAUUUAUUUUUGUGUUCCUGUAUUAAACUUACCAGCCAUCCAGCAAUUCCCGGAAAUUCUGUAACAUCAAGCCCGUGAGUGAAGAUAGGUUUCACAGUCAUCUGGAAAUAUGGCGGUUCAGCAAAGCAUACCCUCAACCGGUCAAUGAAAGGCCAUCUCCGAAGAAACUUCACUCCAACCAGAACCUAGAAGAAAAUAAAAGCGUAGCUUAAAGUCAAACAAUUUCACCCCAUAUUUCUUCGAAUAAAAUAAAACACAAAAAAAAACACCAUGCCAUUUAAAUCACCCAACAAAUAUUAGUAUUGCAAGAAUUUGAACUGAUUCGUCAUAUUCAAUCAACCGACAUUUAUCUUAAAGACAGCCUAAAAUAUACUUUAAUACAAGAAUCACAUAUACUGCCCGAACCUUCCCCUCAACAUGCAUGCCAGUCACAUGCAUCUUGGCCCACAUUCCAAAUCCCAGUCUUUUCCUUAAUUUCACAGCAAGUAUUGCACUCAUAUCAUCUGCUGUGAGAAAGUUCAUUCCCAACUCUAAUACCUGCAAUUAUCACAUAUUAAAAUCUCCUUGGAAACAAUAACAAAAUACAUUGUAGAGCCACCACGCUAUAAGAGAAGAUACAACAUGCCAGAUCAGGGUUCAGUGACACAUACCAUGUGGUCAUCAUCAUUGGAUUGGCGAAGAACUCUCAUUUCUGUAAGCAUUGGGGGGUUUCUACCCAGGUACAGAUGCUGAACCAAAGCUUUCUUCUGCAAAUAUAUCAUUGCCAAUACAGUCAUUAGCAGACCAAAAUAUAACGCCAGAGAAAAGCUAUAAGCUUUUGGCACUGAAAAUGGAUACUAUCUAACUGAAGUAAUCAUGUUUGCUAACCUCAACUAACAUUGAAAUAUAAAACUAGUGAAUUCUCAUAAUUCUGUUACCCGUCCUAGAGAGAAAAGGAAUUUUAUAAAGUCAGUUCCAAAAGUAAAUAGUGUCAUACUGCAGUCCAUGGUUUGUACUUCUCCAAAAACCAUGGUAUAAUGGGGAGAAGUAACUUCUGUGAAGCAAUUUGUUCCAUGCAUAUGGGCCACAUCUUUUCAAUAGCAUGAUUCAACCAUCUUACCGUUUCAGAAUCUUUAAGCACCUGAAAAUAAAGAGAAAACAUUAUCAUUUACUCCAAGAAUCAAGAUCAACAUCAAUGCAUCCAGUUUAGUUUUCAUUUAUAUAUUAAACAAAUGUAGCAUAAAGUUAAUAACAAAAAGCUGAAAGCAUAGGCACCUUUACUCUUUGAAAGUGAAAGAAGAAAAACUUUAUCUUUUGAUCCUUUUUCACUUUGUCUUAGUGGAUCAACCAAAACACAUACUAACUUUCCACUGAACCCAGAAAAUAUAAUUUGAUUUUGAGUUUUGAAGACUAAGGCUAACUUCAUACUUAAAGGAAUCAAUACAAAACCUUUUCAUUUUACAAAAUUUCCAUAGAUUCACACUAAAUCUAAAUUAAAAUACCCAUUAAAAUGAAUAAUCAAAAAUAAAAAAAAAAAUCAACAACCAAGAAUCUUACCAUAUCAAAAGUAGAAUAUUAAGAAAUAUAGAAAUAGAAAAAUACCCUUCUUUGAAAAGAAUUCUUUCUCUCCUCGAACUCCACUUUCCUCCUCAAUCUCAUGACGUAUCGAUCAUGAACCUUUCACCAAAAAAUUAAUUAAAAACACAAAUUAACCCACUGAUCAUUCAAAUCACAAUUAAAAACAAACAAAUUAACAUUAAAUUUUAAAAUACAUACCGAGUACAGAUAGAUUAGAGAGAUGAAAUAAGCAGCUGGGUGGCAACGAUCGAAGUAAGAAAGCAACCAAAGCAAAAACAAAACAAUGCCCACAUGGUGCAUUAUUGAUAUCUCCAUCAAACUCAUCUUUUUUGUUCUUUGCUUUUAUCAACAAAUAUUUCUCCCUUCGUUCUUCACGUGACCUAAUUCAAGAAUCACAAGAAAAUUGAAGGAAAAAAAUAAAAUAAACUCCUGAAAUAAAUAUUGAAUUUUGGGUAUUGGGUGGCGGCAGUUUUCAGAGUUACUACUACUAACACAACAUGCUGUGUUUUGUUUGUAAUUAUUUCUUUACGAGAAGAACAGGGAGCGGUUAAUGAACAAAGGUAAAUUAUUUAUAGGAUGAGAUUAUUUGUUUUUUUUUUCCGGUGAAGUAACGGUACCGUAAUAUGGAAGCAAGCGGCCGUAUUUAAACUAAUUAAUUAAUUAGUAUCUGUUUUUUCAGAUUUGGUUCGACUGGCUUUGUUCUGAAAGCACAUGAAAAGUAGUCAGUUUGAUGUUCGUGCGCUUUGACUGCUUGUUCUCCGACACGUGUCCUUUACGUGUCUCAUUGUGGGGCCUUGUGUACUAAGAAAUAUAUAAGAUCCCUACAGAUAAAAUUAUGUAAUAAUCGUUAUUUAAAAAAUAAAUAAACAUUAUGUAAACUGUUAUUUUUUAUAAAGGUUCACUACGUUAGAGUUCAUUUAUAGUGGAGUACGAAUUUCAGUCAUACACGUAAAGUGAUAAAUAAUAAAUAAUAAAUUAUAAUGAAUUUUUUAUGAUUUAUUAUUUUUCGUGUGUGACUAGGAUUCGUAUUCCACCGUAAGUGAACUCUAAUAUAACCAUAGUCUUUUUAUAAAUAUAAAAUUUUAUAACUUAAAAAAUAUAUAUAAAGAAAUAUCAUUAUGUAAAUUGUUAUGACUAUGAACAGAUUAUGAAUAUGAUUAUGUGCAUACCGAACAAGUUUUUUAUAAUUAUUUUUGAAAUUCUAAAUAUGGAUUUAAAAAAAACGUGUUAAUAUCUAAAAAUUAUACAAUUUGAGGACUUUAAUUAAGUGUCGAAAUAAUUAUUUGGGUAUUGGGACAAUCAUGCCCACACGUUCACUUUCUCGAUUUGUGCUCUUCUCACAUGUCUAGUGGAUUAAAAUAUGCGAUCAAGUGUUUUGAAAUUUAGACAAUUAUGAGAAUUUGAAAGAUCAAAAUUACUAAAAACGUUGUACAAUUAAUUGGUUAGAUACUAUUAUGCAAAGGAUUUUUUUAAAACAUUAAAUUGAUUUUUUUGGUCAAAAUUAUUUUGGGUGUUGCUUUCCCUUUCAAAGAUCAAUGCGACAAUGACCGAAAACUAAAAGAAGCUUUAACGGUUACCACUUACCAUCCAAUCCAUCCACGUUAAUAAAUUAUUUAGUUAUUGUAUUCUAAUUGGACACAGAAAUAUAAUUACAGUCGGUUUUUCUCUUUUUCUUUUUCUUUUUUUGAACAGAUUUUUUUUUAAUUAGGAAAAAGAUUUUUAUUAUAUGUAUACAUAUGAAAAAGAGAAAGAAAUGACUUUAAUGACCUGUAUGUAACUAUUAAAGAGAUUGUUAAUUUCUACCGAACUAUAAUUAAUGUAUAGCACUUGUUCCUUUACUAUUUUAAUAAUAACCAAUAACCACUGGCACCAUAAUUUUAUAGUAUUGUUCUUAUUUUUAAAUAUACUUUUAUUCAUAUUUAUUAUUAAUUAAAUAAACCAUAUAAAUAGAAAUAACUAAAAUGAAAUAAUUUAACUACUACAAGUAGGACACAUAGGUUUCAAUGUGAAUACAAAAUUUAUAAUAAAGUACUUUUUAUAUUCCUAAAAUAAAAUAAAAUAAGCAAAUGACCAUUUAUCCCUCAUUUCUUUUGAAAUUUUUUGUAACGGAGAAGUUAUCAACUAUUAUGAAAAUAACAAGUAAUUAGUGGUAUAUAUAAUAUUUCAGUAGAGUGAUACUGGCAAUCUUUCUAACUACUAUAAAAAAUAAAACGACUGGGCUUGCAUUUAAAAUAAGAUAUAGUAAUCAGACAAAACAAUUUGGAAUGAGAUAAUUAAAUGCAUACAAUUAAUUAAAAAAAAAAAGGCAAACCUUAGUUUGUAUAUUCUAAUAUAUUCAUAAGAUAAUUUAGAUUUUUUAAUUCAUAUUAUUUUUUAAAUAAUAUACAACAAUCUAAGGUACAACACCUUGAUGCUUAAAAAGUGAACACUCUAAAUUCUUAGUUACACCUUUAAAUUUGGGAAAUUAUUUCGGCACUACCUUUUUUUUUGUCAUAUGUAUAUCUAACCACCAUAAAAUUUUAACAUGUACUUUGCACCACCUUUGUUUUUAAGUUUGUAUCAAUCAACUAUUUUGACACUAAAAGUGAUCAUUUUAUCCCUAAAUGAAUUAAAAGACUAUUUUAUCCUAUUAAAUUUUGAAAAAAAAACUAUAAUUAUAAGGAUACCCCUAAAUUCAAUAAAAUAAAUAAAUCUCAAAAUCUAAGAUGAUAAUUUUUAAAUGAAAUUAUAAUUAUGAAAAAGUAACGUCUUGUAAGUAUAUUUAUUUGUAUUAUUUUUUUGUAAUUAAAUUAUAUAUUUAAUAAUAUAAUUAUAAUUUUAUUUAAUUUUUGUAAUUAAAUUAAGUAUAAGGAAGUUUACAAAAAUUAACAUGAAGAGAAAAGCUCCGUAUAAUUAUUGUAAACUUUCCUAUAAUUAAUAUUAAGAAACUUCCCCAUACAAAUAAAAUGAAAUUAUGAUUAUAAAAAAUUGGUAUGAUAAUUUUUAAAUGAAAUUAUAAUUAUAAAAAAUUAACAUAUUAGAUUUUAAAUUUAAUUUUUUUUAUUAAACUCAGGGAUAUUCUUAUAAUUCUAAUUUUUUUCAUUUUUUAAAAUUUUGUAAAAUAAAAUGGUCUUUUAAUUCAUUUAGAGGUAAAAUUGUUAUUUUUUAAUAUCAAAGUAGUUGAUUGAUACAAACUUUAAAAUAAAGCUAGUGUAAAGUACAUAUCAAAAUUUUGUGUUGGUUACAUAUGACAAAAAAAAAGGUGGUGCCGAGAUAAUUUUGCUUUCAAUUUUCAUUAAGCCGAAUUUCUAUAUGUUGUAUGUAAUACUAUAUAUAUUUUCAGAGAGUAGCUAUGCUCGGGUCAUUCUCAACUAUAUGUCUCAAAAUGAUGUCGUGCUUUAAGUAAUUAAGCAUCUUAGAUUUUCUCUCGGCUAUCUUAUUUCUGAUCCGUUGAUUUCAAAGUGAAUAUUACUUUUGUUUAGAUUUUAUAUUCUACAUAAAAUCCUGUAGAUCUCUUUCCCCCUUCUCUAUCGCCCGAGAGUGAUUCCAAAGCCUUCUUCAAGCUUUUCCCAUUUUGUCAACUAGCGGGAAACUCCACCGAAGCCCUCUCUCGGUGGAUUUUUUUUACUCUCUCUUUUCUUUGCCUUUAUCUUAGGUUUUGAAAAAAAAUUCUCUCUCCUUUCAUUCUACGCAGAUAUUUAUUUUGGCUUUUUUUUUCCCCUUGAUUCUGAAGCUUUUAGUCUUCAUAUUUUGAAAAUUCUAGCACGUUGGAGGUCAAUUCAUACAGAUUUGUUAUUUUAUCAAUUGAAAAAAUUGUCACGAGCAGUAGAGAGAUAUUCUGAACGAGCUUAAAAGUUUCGAGCACAUUGUAAAAGAAGAAUCUCAAAAGUGCACAAUUCUCUCGAACUUCAAUAAAUAUAUAUAUUCCUAUGAUUUUCUCAAUUGAUUACGUUACCAAAUUAGUGUUUUUUUUCGAUCGUGUUAUUACUUUAUUGUAAAUAGGGAUUAUCACAAUGUUGAGUUGUGUCUCACAUUGAUUAAAAAAUAAGAGAUACUUGAGUUCAUAAGGUGGUAGGUCAUUCUACUUAAAAAGUUAGUAUUUUAGGUUGAAUAUCUAGAAAUCUUCUACUAAGUUCCUCGAACAAGUGAUAUCAGAGCUAGACACUAAUAACUGAAAUGUGGUGGUAAAACAACUCAGGUGUGUCAGACGAAAAAACCGGAGUCCGAUGGUGGUUUCGUCUGAGGGAGAGAUUGUUGAGUUGUAUCCCACAUUAACUUAAAAAUAUAUAUAUUUAAGUUUACAAGGUGAUAAGUCACUCCACCUAAAAAGUUAAUCUUUUAACUUAAAUAAUUAGAAAUCUCAUGGUAAAUCCACACAAUAUUUUAGUUUCUGUUUUAUAUUUUGGAUAUGUAUUUUUAAUUAUGUUUGUAUCUCCACCGUUAGUGGCUUUAAUAAAUGACAUGCUGCCCAUUUCAAAAAAAAAAAAGGAAUCUACAUUUUCAAAGUUGACGUCAUAAUUAAUAUAUAAGUGAAAAAGGGCACCACGUGGCCAAGUCAAGUAAGAUGUCACUAUACAAUUAAAUUCUUUUAUGGCAAAUUAUCAAAUCUACAUGGAUUUUGCGUUUAUAAGCCGCGUCGGCAAGCUAGCUUCAAUCAUUUGCAUCCGCGUUUACGUUUUUGUUGUGUGUGUCCACUUAUUCGGCGACACAUCAUCCAAACGGCAGAGUUUAUCGACUUUGCAGGCCAGUUUCACAUUCUGAAUUUCCGUCGUCGUUUUCAUGAUGGCCAUUGUCAAAUUCUAUAUAUAUAAUUAUUCCCCUUUUUUUCCUUUUCAAUGGGACCAAGUACCAGCAGGUGUUUAAAUAUUAUUUGAAUUAUGGGGUUCGGUAUCUAAGUAUCUAAUUCACUGUUUAUGAUAAUAUCCAAUUUUUAAAAAAAAUUAAAUUUUCAUUACCAUCCAAAUAUAUAAAUACAGCAGUAAGUAGAACAAAACCACAUUUAAGUCAUGUACGUAAAUACGUAAUGAGAUGUCAUGCAUACGUACUUUCACUCAGUAUAUGCAGUAUGCACAACAGAUUUGUGCUCCACUUAAGUUUUCUCUCCAAUCUUUCAUAUUAAUAAUUAAUGAGAUUUGUUUGGUAUAAGUUCGAGUCUUAACUGUUUGGUUUCUCAUUUUCUCUCAAAAUUAUACAAUUAAGUAUGGAUUUUUUUUUUUUUAUAAAAAUAGGUAGAGUAGAUAUAUCUUUUCAAUAGUAGUAAGAUAAAUAUAUCUUAAAUAUAGGAAUAUGAAUCUGAUUUUGAAUUAUAAAAGAAUUUAUUUAGAUUAGUUUCAUUAGAUUUUUUUAAUUAUAAAUAUCAAUAAACUUCUGAUGGCAACAUAUUAGUAAUAAAAAAUAAUGAGAUAUGCUUCUAUGUUCGUUUUCACACCAUCAUCUUUCCCUUUCGUUCCCAAAAUAAUUAAAUUAUCUCAUAAUUGUUGACUAGUUUUUGAUAAACAAAACCGUCAAAAUGUUAGGUUGAUAUGCGGAUAUGGUGUUACGUUAAUUAUCCAAUUACUUAGGAAUAGUCAAUAAAUGAUGCCAUGCUAGGUUUGAUUACACUUUGCACAUAUGAAAAAAGACACAAGAUAACGCACAUCUACUGGCAAGUCCAGGAGGCCCCAUAUAUUUGGGCUUCUAAAUUAGGGAGCAUAGGGCUUGGUAUGCAGAGAACAAACCAUUUCUUUGGUAACAUCUUGUCUACAGCAAUGACAAAUAGCUCAACCCUAAAAUCAGGGUAACGAGUAAAUUUAAGGGGCAAAUAUUUACAGACCAGAUGAUAUUUUACAUUUGAUUAAAAAUAAACUGAAACUUUUAUUUUUCAAUUGUCUACUUAAGUUUUAUAAAGUGGAUCAAUGCUCCACUGACAUCUUAAAAUUAUGACAUCCUUUAUCGGAUUAUAUUAUAUGGCAAGUCCAGGACACUGAAUUAAGUUGAUUAGAUUAAGUUGAAUUAUAUUAGAUGGUCUCAUGUUUGGUCCAGUACCGGAUUAGAUUAUAUUAAAUUAUAUUUAGAUAAUAUUAAAUAGCAUUUAAGUUGAUGUUUAAAUAUAAAUAUCAAUUACUCAUGAAAUUUUAUAAUCAUAAUUAAAUAAAUUUAACAAGUAAGUAAUAAGAAAAUUAAAUAUUUUGCAAAUAAGUUAUUUGGUAGUCAUAAUAUAAUAAUCAAAUAAAAACACACAAAACAAUCUAAAUAUUGAAUUAAUUUUUAUCAAAUAUUUAGAAAUAUUAUAUCAAAUCAAUUAAUUAAUGGUAUUAUUAAUUUUCAUGAUUAUUUUUAAUAUUAUAUUAGUGAUUAUUAAAUUUAGUGCAAUCCAAUAAUGCAGUAAAUUAUUAAAAUGGUUAAUUUUAUUGAUAAAUUAUUAAAUAUACAAGUAAUGAAAAUAUAAUCUCAAGAGUUAGUAGAAAUAAAAGUACCAAUUUAAUUGGAUCAUAGAUAGCAAAUAAAAAUAAAUUUUAAGUAAAUCAAAAAUAAAAAUUAUUUGAUUAAAUUAGGUAUAAAUAAAAAAUUAUAUAAAUAAAAGCAUCAUGAAUGGACAAUUUUUUUUCUUUAAAUCUUAUCCCAUGUAAACUCAUGUGUAAAUUAGUAUUAUUAAUCCCAUGAUUUUAGGAUUAAAUUCAAAUUUUAGUCCCCCUUAAUCCAAUCCAACUAAGCUUGCCAAACAUAGGAUAAGUAUUUAAUUCCAAAAUUAAUCAAAUCUUAUACUUAAUUCUAUCAUCCAAACAUGGCCUAAAAGUUUCCUAUUAACUAUUAAUAAAUAAUAUUAAUUUUUUAAUAUCAAUAAAAUACCCUAACUGUAUCAUAAUUUAUAUCAAUAAUAUAGUAUAUAAAAUAUAUAAAAAUAUAAUUAAUUUUUGUAAAUAUCAAUAUAAUUAAAAUGAAACCCAAAAAAGUUUAAAAAAUAUAUUGAUAAUGGUAACACAUAUGUUAUGUUUAUCAGGAAUUUACCUCUGGUGUGCCCNNNNNNNNNNNNNNNNNNNNNNNNNNNNNNNNNNNNNNNNNNNNNNNNNNNNNNNNNNNNNNNNNNNNNNNNNNNNNNNNNNNNNNNNNNNNNNNNNNNNNNNNNNNNNNNNNNNNNNNNNNNNNNNNNNNNNNNNNNNNNNNNNNNNNNNNNNNNNNNNNNNNNNNNNNNNNNNNNNNNNNNNNNNNNNNNNNNNNNNNNNNNNNNNNNNNNNNNNNNNNNNNNNNNNNNNNNNNNNNNNNNNNNNNNNNNNNNNNNNNNNNNNNNNNNNNNNNNNNNNNNNNNNNNNNNNNNNNNNNNNNNNNNNNNNNNNNNNNNNNNNNNNNNNNNNNNNNNNNNNNNNNNNNNNNNNNNNNNNUGUUCUUCUCCUUUACGAGAUUUCUUCCUCCUCCUCUUCACUGAAUUUCUUCUCCUUUGGCCGCAAUAGCUUCAUCAAAAUUACCCUUAUCAACCAUAAUAAUUUCUCUCUUGUUGGUGGUGGCAUUCUUGGAGGCGGCAUUCUCAGUGGCUGUGAAAAUCAUCCCUAAUCGACGGCCAAGAUUUCAUGAAGUAGCAUCAAUAUUAGAUCUUCGCCAAGUAAAAUUUUAUAUAUACAUACAUGGGUUUCUUGAAUCUUGGUCCUAUAAUUUAUAGUUGGUUAACGUUGCAUUUCUUGUUAUCAUGUCUGAUAUGGUAAUGGGUUGGAUUAAUCUUGGGUUUUAUCCAAUACUGUUGAAGAGUUGAUUGAGUACUUUAUUGAUACUGAAGCUCAGGAGCUUGAGUUUGAAAUUGCAAGGUUAAGGCCAAGGUCAGUUCAUUUGUUUGAUUUAUUGUUUUAUUAAAACAAUGAAAUGUUUUUAGAAAUGCAUGCAACUUGAUUGAUAUUUUGCCUCUUCCAAGGCGUAUUAAUAGAUGAAGGUGUACAAAUUUGGUUAAAUGCAUCUUAGAAUAAUUUAUAUGUUAAUGAGAAUGAAUGGAGUGUGAAAGGUUUUGUAGAUAUGUAACUCCUUGAUUUGCUAAUAGAAAGUGAAUUUCCUUGAUUUUUCUGUAUUUGUGAAGAUUAUCUACUUUUUGAAGUUUGAUUAUGAGAAACAAUGAGUUCCAAUUGUUUGGUCAUUCUUCUUUUCUACCUCACCAGGCACUUGCAGUAGCAUCAAUAAAUUAUAGGCAUCAAGAUUCAAGGAACGUCAUGAUGCUUGUCGACUUCACUUAUUUCACUUGCAUGCUUGGUAUCACUCUGUUUUUGCUUGAAGAGUUUUUUCGGCUAUAUGCCCUGAAUUUAUCUUGUCUCAUCCUGCCUGUUUCCGUUCCUUCGUUCCUCUCUAUUUCUCUCCUCAUGCUUGCAGGAGAAGAUGUGCCCAUUUCUCUCUACACUAGCUGUAACUUCAACGAAAAAGUAACUUUUUUACAACUUUCAUAUUCUCAUAGUGUGGAAUUACCUUGAACCAAAAAUUGAAGCACUAACACGUUCCAUCAUGUGCAAGUUUCAGCUAGAAUGUAUGGCCCCUUUUAUUUUUAUUGUUCAUUUUUUCUAAUUAUUAUCAUCAUCAUCAUCAGUAGAAGCAGCAGUAGUAGUAGAAGGUAGAAUUUCGAGACUUUCAAUGUGAAUUGGUCAAAAUAUCUUUCAAUAUGGCAUUUUUAUUAAAGAGUGUUUUUGUUUCUUUUCAUUUAUUUUAAUUUUUAAAAAAAAGCAAAAGAAAUUUUGUCUACCUUUUCUCAUUCUCAGAUUCUUGUUCCUGGACUCCUAAUUAUGUCACAUGUGUUGCUGGUAUAGAAGUAGCUGUGCUAAAGGCCAAAUGCUUACCAUUUUCUUUUCUUUUCUUUAUAGAUUUGAAUUUGAACUACUUUCCCUUCCCUAUUUGUAUCUUUUUCCAUACUCUUCCUAUCUUAUUAUUAGACAAUUAAAAAAUCUCUGGUUAAUUUCAAGAAAAAAAUUUCUCUAUGGUUUUAUCUAGUUUUGAUGGUCAUGGUUUUAAGCUAUUGCAAAUACCUUUGCUACUUCAGAAGAUAUCAUAUUAAGAAAAACAUUUAGACUGUACUGAUGUGAUAUCAAAUAUCCCUUCGCCCAUCUUGCGAGUAUGAAACAUCCUGCAAAAAAAAAAAAAAAUCAGGGUAUGCAAUUUAGUACAUUAUAUAUUAGUUUUUUUUUUAUAAUAAGAAUGGUGAUUUUAUUAUUGAUAUAAAUGAAUUUUAUUAGUGGUAAUUGUGGAGCAUUUUUUAUGCAGUCUUUGGAGGUUCUAGCUCAUGGCCUUGACGUCAACAAGUAUUGCCAAUUAAGAUGAUAUUACAUGAUAUCGAAAAAUAUUGGCUGUCAAAUUAUUUGGCCAUAGGUUGUGGAAACCAACUAUAUAGUGACACACUCUCAAGAGCUUCAUUACUCUGAUUUUGUCAUUUUUGGAUAAGUUAUUAUGAGAUGCAACAGUUACAUUAGGGAUGUAGUUGACAUUUGAUGUAAUUAAAUAUAGUUUUAUUUUUUUAAAUAUAUUAUUAAAAGAAUAUAAGAUAUUUUGUGUUAUAUAUGGGAUAUAACAGGAUGAUCAUAAUAAUUAAAAGAAUGUUCAGCUCAAAUACACGACUAUAGUCGAGUAUUUUCAUAAAUACACGACUACAGUCGAGUAUCUUUAUAAAUACAUAACUACAGUUGUGUAUCUUCAUAAAUACACGUUGACUAUAUAUUAUUGAAAGAAUAGAAGAUAGUUUUGUAUUAUAUAUGUGAUAUAACAGGAUAAUCAUAAUAAUUAAAGGAAUGCUCAGCCCAAAUACACGACUACAGUCAAGUAUCUUCAUAGAUACACACACCUCUCACUAGAAUUCAUAAUCUUCUUGUGUUUUUAUUGAUCAUUUGACACUUAUAAAUCAUUACCCAUCACUUAAACAUCAAUUGUUCAUCUCUUAAUAAAUAACUGCAGUCGAGUAAAAUUAUAUAUGCACGACAAUAGUAAGGUAACUUCAUAAAUACGUGAUUGCAGUCAAGUACGUAGACAAAGAACAAAAUUACCUAAAACACUCAUCAAAAUGAUAACACAAUCAACAUAAGUUUAACAUAUCAAACUUCAAUUUAUCAAACAACAAAAACUUUUUUACAUUAAACAACAUAGGUCCAACGCAUGUCAGAAUCAUAAAUAAGUUUUAAAAGAGCACAAGUUGCUACUCAAUCAUCCUAACUAUAAAUUUGCUCCAAACACUCGGCCCAUCUAUUAUGAUCUCCUUUGUUUCAAAGUCAAAUUUAGAAACAUCAAUGGAAAUAACUCGAGAUACUCUUUCUAUCAAUUGUGCAUAUGUUGUAGAAUGGAGAACCAUGAUUCCUCUUACCUCAGUACCAUUAAGUGUUUGAUGGCUAUUUUGCUCAAUCCAUAACCAUGAAACAUAUUAGAUACACAUACUGAAGUCAUUUCCUGUAAUAAUAAACAAAUAAUUAUACAAAAAGUACAAAAAUAAAAUCAAACAAGGCAUAUAAUAGCGUGUGGAACUGUCUGCCUAUUUACAAGAUAGCACUCGUGUAACUUGCUAAAAUACAGGAUUAUAGUACAGUAAAUAAUCAGAGAAUAUAUUUAGUGAAAAAAUAUAUUUUUUUUGCACUAGAAAAAUGCUAGAGUGUCAUAACAGCUACGACAUUUUCACACUUGCACGACUGUAAUCGUGUAAAAUCAUACAUAUACGACAAAAUUCGUGUAACUUUUAAAAUCACACAACUACAGUUCAGUAAAUAGUCAGAUGGUGUAUUUCUUCUAAAAAAAAAAUACUUUUGCACUGAUAAAACACUAGGAUCUCAUAAUACAACACAUGAUUAUACAACAAAUACAAAAACAAAAUCAAACAAGGUAUAUAACAUAAUAACAAAGUGUGGAAUCGUCUGUCGUCUUGUAAUUGCUAGUUUACAAGACAGUAGUCAUGUAACUUGCUAAAAUACACAACUAUAAUCUAAUAAAUAGUCAGAUGAUAUAUUUAGUAAAAAUAAAAUGUAUUAUUUACACUAACAGAAUGCUAGGUGUCAUAACGGCUACCAUGUUUUCACACUUGCAUGACUAUUGUCGUGUAAGUUCAUACAUACACGACAAAAGUCAUAUAAGUUGCAAAAAUACACGACUCGGUAAAUAGUUAGAUGACAUAUUUCUUCUCUAAAAAUUAUUUUUCUUGUACUAAUAAAAUGCUAGGGUCUCAAAACAGUUGAAAUAUUUUACAUAUUUGCGCAAUUAUAGUAUGUAAGUUCAUACGUAUACGAUAGUAGUCGUGUAACUUAUUAAAACAUACGACUAUAGUCUAGUGAUAGUCAGAGGACAUAUAUAACGAAAAAUAGAUUUUUUGCAUCAAUAGAAUAGUAGGGUGUCAUAAUAAUUGGAAUAUUUUGUACACUUGCACGAUUGCAAUCAUGUAAAUCCAUACAUACACGACUACUAUCGUGUAUGUCGGGUGCAGAACAAAAUUUUGGCAAUAAAUUUAGGUUUUAACGAAUGUAGUUAUAAAAUCCAUUAAAUAACAGUGAUAUGAUACAAAUGUAAUGGAAAUAUGAGUUGUUUUAUUAUUUAUCACAAAUCAAACAAAAUCCUAAAAAUAAUAUAAUAUCAAUAAAAUGAAUAAAUAACACAAAAUAAAUAUAAAGUUUCAAAUACCUUAUUCAUGGGAUGAAUAAUGCACUUAGCUGCAAAACUAAAAUCUCAGUACAUUGGUUGUUCAUGAGUGAUUUUGAGAGUGUGGAGUGAGUUUUUGUUGUGUGGAAUUAAAAAGUGUGAGAAGUAAAGAGUGUUGGAGGUGAGUUGUAUGUAUUUUAUGUUUUUCUUUAGGGAUAUUUUAGAUUAUAUACCACAUAAAAAUACAUACCUACAUAAUUUUGAAGUAUGGAGUAUAUUUAACUAAAUAACUUAUUUUUGAGUAACUUUAAUUAAAAACCCCAAUGUUUAUUUUAAAAUACAUACCUACAUAAUUUUCAAGUAUGGAGUAUAUUUAACUAAAUAACUUCUUUUUGAGUAUCUUUAAUUAAAAACCCCAAUGUUUAUUUCGGCUUUUAGAAUGCAUAGCCAUAAACGUGAAGAUCGAAAGAGAUUGAUCCCCAAGCAUGUGCCAAGAAACCAGUCAUUCAUGGGAAUUUGUAAGCAUUGAAUUGGUGACAGUCAUAUGCUCAGAGAUUCCUGUUCUGGAAUUUGCUCGUGGAUCACAUUUUAAUGCCAAAUAAUUAAUGCUUGCAUGCUGUCACACUUUUUCAAUAACGAAUUUGAUUCAUCUUUGUUUGCACAUGAACGUCGGAAACGGAGGGCGCCUUCUGAACAAUUAUUGCAUGUAUUGUUGCAUUUGAAAUCCAUCCAAUUGCAGCAAAUGAUAUUGAAGAAUUGAAAAACAGAUAAAAUGUUAAUAAAACGCUGACCAGAAGAGGUUUAUGCACCUACAAUAUAUUUUAGGAGAUUUAAAAAUAAUUUUAAAAAGUUAAAAGUUAAAUUUUGAUAUUUGAUAUAUUUUUUUAAAAGUUAUUUUCGGCAAAAUCCCAUAUUCUACAAUAUAUUUUAAAAAGCAGGAAAGAAAUAAUUUUCUAGAAUCACACAUCCUACAAUAGUUUAAUAAUAAGAUUUACCAAAUACAUAUGAUUGCUUUUAAAAACUCACAUCACUUUUAAAAAUAAAUUUUACUAAAUGUUUUACUAAUUCUAUUUACAGCUGAUUAUUUCUAUAACAUAACUAAUAGUAAUUAUUUUAAAAACUAUAACAUUACUAAACUGACACUAAACAUGUAAAUUUAGUAGGGAUUGUCAAUAUUUUGUCUUUUUUAUAUGAAUAAUAUCAUGAUAUUACGUUUUGUUAUAUGUUUUUAAUGUAUGCUUUGAAUUUUUUUAAAAAAUUAAUUAUCAUUUAUGGAUAAUUAAUUUUUUAUAGUAUAAUUUAAAGAUAUAAUUCAAAGAUAUACUAAUUGGAGCUCGAAAAUAUGAUCAUAUAAAUCUUUGAGAGAUUUCUUCCCCCACCUAUAUUUAUGGAAUAUGAAAUAUUUAAGUAAUCUUGUGCACUCAAUUUUUGUUGAAAGAAAGACCCACCCCUAGGUCAGGCUUAGUUAGUAGGGUAUGCUUGAUGAUGCUAUUUGUACAUAAUUGAUAAUACUAUGUUAUUAGUUAAUACAUUGUACAUAAUCCGGUGGGAUAAUCACACUUAAGAGUUAAGACCUGUCAACUUAAUGAUUCAAUUUAUAUAGAGUGUAUAUAUCUGUUAAUGUAAUUAAGUAUGUAAAGUUCUGUGGUAAAUCAUCCCCUUUUCCAUCCUUGUGGGAUGGGGCUAGGGAUUUUGAGUAUUUUUAUAUGCCGUUAUGGAGGUUUUUUCCUUUUUUUUUUUUAAUAUAAAAAUAUCCGGCCAGGUUUAGUUGGAUUUUUAACUGUGAAUACCAAUGCUGCAAGACCCCGUGCCCUUAUAGGUUACAUUAAUUACAAUUAAAAACAAAAAAAAAGGCUUUAGCAAUCUAAUUGCACGAGGCACGUGCCUUAUGAAAUAGCUAGCAUUGAUGUUUGAAUUUUUCUCAAAGUUGAGGGCGAAAACCCUACGCAAUAAGCAAUGAAAUGACACUAACCAAGCAUUCAUUAUCCAUGAAAGAAACCAAAAAUAUUUGUUGGGUAAUCAACGUGAUUGAUGCUAGAAUCGAUAAUGGAAAAAAAAAUGACCUUAACCAAACCUAUGAUUGAGAUAUGACAUCCUACACAUUAUUCAUUCUGAAAACGAUAAUGUUUCUUUUCCAAUUUUCUCGUCCUUUCGAGGCACAUCUAUAAAACAAAACAAAACUUUAAAAAGACUACUCUAUCUUUGAAUUGUUAAUUUUUGCUGCAUAUCUGACAAGUUUUGGCAAUUUUUAUUUUUAUUUUUAGAAGCUUAUGGAUAGAAUUUAUUUUCAAAAUUUAGUUUGAAUGUUGCUCCAAGUUUAUUAUAUCGUGAUCAAGAACUAUUUUCAGCUUAUGUAAUUUUUUUUUCUUUCUAAACAUAGAUAUGUAGAUCGGUCAUUUUAUCAAAUUCUUAUCGUAUAAAGCUGUAGUGUGGAUCCCAUUUGCUUGAUAACUCACUUUCACUGCAAUAGUUGAGUCUAGUGGCUGAACCUUCCUUUUCCUCUCACUAUGUGAGUAACCCUAAUCUUUCUGCUAAAAUUUGUAUACCUAACUCAUAUUCAUAAGCUAAUUUUUAAAUAAGGUAAGCGAUCCUUUAGUCCCCGAGUUUUAAAUCCAUUACUCAAUUAGUCCCUAUAUUUUUAGAAAGAGUUAUUAUCCUUUUACUAUUUAAGUGAUUAAGAAAUGACAUCUAGGUACAACAAUUAUUAUACUCUAAUACUUUACUAUUAAUAAUGUUGAGUAGUUAUGUAUUACAAGUAUGGUACAUUCCGAAUUUCAUAAUUUGACAUAUAGGUGUUCGUUUUCAGUGUAUAAUAUAUCGUGUCAAAGUUUGCAACGAGACGAAUCUAACCCGAAAUUGCUUGUGCCAUUUUGCCUCGGGGUUGAGCCGGAAAUUCUGCUUUUUCCUUAGUUGUUUCCUAAUUUUAAGAUUUUUUCCUAUUUUUCCUGAUUCUUCUAAGAUUUUUAUCUUUUUUUCAAAACCCAGAUUUUAGUAUUGUUUUUUUUUUCUUAUUUUGAUUAGAAGAAUUUAAUUAUCAUAUUAUAUUUCAGAUUUGUCUAUUUUGGUAAAAUUCGCAAUAUUUAAGUUUGUUAUAAAAGGGGCUAAAAAACCUAGUUUAAUUUGUUCAAAAUUUUCAAUAAAAUUUAUCAUUAUUAAGAAACUUUUAUGUCUUCUAUCAAUCUACUUUUAGGGUCUCCGUUUUGUCAAUUAAAAAAAUUACAAAAUCUCACAUUUUACUACUUUCUAAACAUGAUUAUUAGUCGACUGCUAACAUCAUGUUGAUAUAAUAGGGGUAAAAAGUGUCUUUAUACAUAAAAUUACUCCAAAAUUAUAAUUUCAUUAAAUAUAAAGGGUAAAAUUGUCAUUAGAGACAUAAUGAAUUAGAAAUGACUGAAAGAAAAUGUUAAUAUGCUUUGUAUUAAUAUUUUCUAACCUGAUAGUUUUUCAAAGUAAGUGCAAAAUUAGUGACUUAAAGGUGAAAUGUAACGAACAACUAAUAAUAUUAACGACAAAGUAGUAAAAUGUAAGAUAUUAUGAUUCUUUGAUAGUAAAAUGUUAAGGUACAAUACUUGCUGCACCUAAUUGUUAUUUUCUAGUAAUAAAAUAAUAAUAAUAAUAACGCUUUGAAAAUUACCUAAAAGGUUUUUGUCAUUACUCUCAUAGUUGUUAAAUGGUUUUUGUCGUUAUUCUUAUAGUUGCUAAAUUGGACUUUCCAAGGGUUAGUAGUUUUUGUGUCCGAUGAAAAUUAAAAUAAAAAUAAAUUUUAAUGGAAAUGUAUGCACUAUACACCAUAUGGAUGUUUUGGAUAAUUUUAAAUAAAGGAACUAAUUAAAUAAUUCAUUAAAAGCUAAAGAAGCAUUUACACUUUUAAAUACGAGUUAGACAAUGAGCUUCCAAAUGAUUUACCAUAAUUAAAGAGGACAAACUGGAGUUUUUUUCUCCUACACCAUAUGUUGUUCUUUCUUCUAUAUAUGUUUUUUUCUUCUAUAAAUAAGAGUAAAAGAUCAUGAAAUCCUUCACUCUCUCAAAGCUUAAUUAUAUAUAGAAGUUGCAUGUUCUUGUUUUACUAUUAAUGUUUUUCUCUUACAUCUCAUUUUCUUUUGCUGACUUUGUAUUGCAGAUACAACUUGAAAUAAGGUGCAUAUUCCAAUGCCAGGUGAUCUUGUUCUAGUAAGUAAGUUUUAGAACAAUUAAAAGCAAAAUCUUGCUCAAGACCGCGCAAUUUGUUCAUGAAAAACCGCAUCUGGGUAUUGGUUUGUCAUGUAUUUCAUCAGUAUUUACAGAGAGAAGCAAGAAGAAGAAGAAGAAGAAGAAGAAUAGAAGAUUGGAUAAAAAUGGAUGAGCCUAUACCUUGAUGCUGCUGCUCAUGUAUAUAGGCUGCGUGGUCUUGUGCAAGAUUUUACUUGAGAAAAAUAUGCUCACCUCAUUUGCUAUAUAUAUUCAGUAUAAGUUUAGUUAAUUAAAGUUUCAGUGUUAAUUAAAGUUUCAGUGUUUAUUCAGUCAGCUGAUAUAGGUGCUUUUCCCUUUUAAUCUUUUUACUCUUUUUUUAACAUGAAUAUUUACUUGUUUCCAGGUAUUCUGGUGGGAAUUUAUAUCAAGUUUAAUAGAUUUAUGAUAUAAAGAGGUAUAUUUUUACAUGACUAACAAAGUAUAUAUAGGUUAAUUACAAUUACUUCAUUUUGAUACUUUUUCAGCUGUGGCAGCAAUGUGUAAGCGUUUUAUGUUGCUUAAAUGAUAACUAAUUGACAUCUAUCAGAUGCUUUAAUAAAUGCUUUGUUUGAUUUUUGUACACAGGAAAAACAACACCAGUUACCAGUAUAAUUACAUGUAAUUAAUAUAUUAACAAACUAAUUCAUUCGUAUGAUUGGAUAUGCAAUAAAGUUAUUUUGAGUUUAUUGUGCUUAUGCAUUAUAGUUUUCUAAUAUGCAUAUGAAUUGAUAGUAUAUCCACUUGCAGUGCUAAAAUGAAAAUAUAAGACAAAAUUGCAUUAAGACAAAAUUACACAAUUAACAAUUUUACCACUUUAAAAAGAUAAAAUAAAAAUAAUACUUAUGAAAAGUAAUAAACAACAUCCAAACUUAAACUAAUCCAACAUCUAAAAAUUUAAUUAUACAAUCUAACAAUCAAAAUUAAAUCAUUGUGAUACAAUAAUUAAUAAUUAAUAAUUCAUCCAAAACAUAUUAUAUGAUAAAGACAAAUUAAUUUUUGUAAUAAAUGGGUCGAUAAUUAUCUUGAGGUGGUCUAAUACGAAUAUGAUAGGAUUAUUUAUCGUAACAUGUUGUUUCAACUUAUUUAUUAAUUAUGUCAAUAAUCAGGCACGUGGCUUUUGUAUCAUAAAAAAUAUUACCAUCUCUUCGCAUUAGUUACUCUAACUAGUGUAUUUCUAUUUUUUAUUUAUUAAAAUUUAAUUUUAUCUCAUGCAGCCAAAAAAAAGGGGGGAAGAUAGUUAAGAUGGAUAAAAAGAAUUGCCAAAAUUCAUAAUUUUUCUAUGAUAAAACCUAGGGAUGGCAAUGGGGAGGGGAGGGGAGGGGACCAAUCUCCCCAUACCCAUCCCCGAUAUUUUGUUAUGUCCCCGUCCCCUCCCCGUCCCCGUCAGAAUUACUUAAGUGAAUCCCCAUCCCCUCCCCGAAUACUAACAGGGGAUCCCCGAGGGUCCCCGGUCCCCGAAUAAUUAAUAGUCUAAUACAUUUUUUUUUUCGAUUUUAAAUUAAUCAUAUUAAAAUAAAAAAUUCAGAUAAAAAUAAAGUUCAAAAUAUAUCUUGCAUUAAUAUUGAUCCAUUUCAAAGUCACAUUCAAAAAUAUAAAUUAUUAAAAUAAUUAUCUUUGUCAAUGACUCAAUCUUCAUAAUCCUACAAUAAAAAGAAAAAAAAUUAUUUUUAUAUCGACAAUAAAAUAAAUGUAGAUACUUAAUUAAUAUUUUUAAUAAAACUAUUUACCUCCUGCUCCUCCAGUUCUUCCUCGAGAAAUGUGGCAAAUUGAGAGCUAACCUCAGAUUUCAAACCUAAAACAAUGAAAAUGAUAUAAGUAACGUAACUUAUAAGCGCAAAUAUUAAUAACUGUAUAAUAUAAUUACAAUGUAAAAUAAACUCAUACUGCUAUUGUAAGCUCGUAACCAACUUUGACAGCAUAUUAAGGCCUCCAAUGUGCUUGGAUGAAGUUUGUUACGGUGUGAGCUCACAACUCUACCACCGGUGCUAAAAGCUGAUUCAGAAGCAACUGUUGUAAUUGGAAUUGCCAAAAUAUCUCUAGCAAUUCGAGCUAAUGUAGGAUACGAAUUAGGAUUAGAACUGUUGUAAAUUAUAAUUAGGCAGCUCUCUCCUGUAUCAUUGUGGUUUGGAUUAAAAAUUUAAGACUUUAAUUAGUUAAUUAAGUUUAAAAGUUUAAUAAUAUAACUAUUUUAAUAUUUAUUAUUUUUAACAAUAUUUAUAAUUUUGUUAUUUAUUUAUUAGUAAUUUUAAAAAUAAAAAUAAAAUUAAAAAUUAAAAUGGGGAAAUGGGUAGGGGAUGGGGAUUCCACCUCAUCCCCGUCCCCUCCCCGAAUAAAAAAUUGGGUAAAAAAUUUUCCCCGUCCCCUCCCCGAAUAAAAAAUUGGGUAUAAAAUUAUCCCCGUACCCUCCCCGAAUGGGGAAAAUCCCCGAGGGUACCCGUCCCCGUGGGGAUUUUUGCCAUCCCUAAUAAAACCUCUCUAUAAUGAUACUUUAUGUAGGAAUAACCUCCAUAUAAUCAAAAAUAAUUCUGAUUUCAAUUUGGACUAAUUAUAAAUAAAACAUAAAUUCCACAUUAUAAUAAAUUGUAACUUUUCUAGAAUGUGUACAUAACAAAUUACUAGGCAUAAAAUUGUAAUUUGAUUUGGGUAAAUUUCACAUUAUCUACUUGUGAAAUGUCAACUUAUCCUCAUAUCUGUUUAAAAGACACAAAAAAAUAAUGGGGUUUAGGUUGAAAAUCUUUUUAUCUUAUUUAUAAAAGUAGGGUUAGUUCAGAUUUACAAUAAUUUAGAAAAUAUUUAGAAGAUUGUCAUUUUAUCAGAAGAUAAUUCAAAAUUAACUUCUUCUUUUUUUUUACUUUUUAAAUUGUUGAAUAGAGGGCUUUGGAAUUGGAACCACGUAAAAUCAGUUUUAAAAUUAGGAAUGCUAGAAUUAUGAGAGUAAAAAUAAUAAAAUAAAUAAAAAUACAAACAUUAAAAAGUAUGAAAAUCAUUAUUUUAGGCCCAUGGCCUUAUCUCCAAAUUAGGCCCAAUCGUUUUUAUGAUGCUUUUUGGAGGUCCAUACCCGGCCCAAAUUAUUCGUGGGCCCCGCGGGAAUUUAUGCCAUCCCAAAAAACAGAGAAGCUCCGUCCAAAGUGCAGUCCGCCAACUGCCAAGUGAUAAUGGGCGCCAUGACAAGCAUAUAAUCCAGCGACGAAAUCUUCACUGCUUACCAUAAAUAAAUUAUAGUAACAAUAAUUCAACACGUCUCUUUUGCUUAUCUCGAUCUGAUCGAUAAACAUUUUCGUAAAAAAAAAAAGAAUAAUAAACAACAAAUGAUUCAAUUGCGAUUUUUGAAAUCCCCUUUGCUUUCCUCCUCCAACAUUCUUUCCAAUUUUUCUCCGAAACCCAGAACCGGAACCCUUCUUCCUCAUCCCGUCACCAAGUUUAAGCCUCUUUCUCAAAUGGAUUCUUAUUCUACCACUACGACAUCGUCUUCUUCUUCUUCAUCGAAGCUGCUGUUUCGCCAGACGUUUGAGAAGGAAUCCUCCACCUACACUUACCUUCUUGCUGACGUCAAUCAUCCCGAUAAACCAGCUCUGGUUAGUCUCUCUUGUUUGUAAAGAUUUUGCGUUCAAUGGGGGCUGUUUUGGGAAUUUUUUUAUUUUGUAAGUGCUUUUUUUUUUCUUUCUGAAAGCACUUUGUUCAUAAGUGCUUUUUCUGGAAGUACCUUUUUUUUUUUAUGAGUGCUUUGCACACGCGUGUUUUAUAGAAAGAUCUUUAAUAGUGUGGUCGGAGUUUUGUGAUUAUCUUUUGGGAUUGUGUUAAGGGGCGGACCUACAAGAAAAAAUCGUAUACCCCUUAUUUUUUUUACUAAUUUAGUAAAAUAAUAUAUUUUUUAUUUUAUUUUUAUAUAGGUUGCUAACUUAAUUAUACUUAUAUUUUUAUUAAUUUAUUAUAACAAUAAGAUUUUUAUUUUAUAUUCAAAUACGUCCUUACUGAAUUAUUUUUAUAUUUUCAUCAAUGUAAUAUAAUAAUAAAAUUUUUAUUUUUUAUUCAAAUAUGUUCCUAAUUCAAGGCAAAUGCUAUGUUAUAAUUAAUGUAACAUACACACUCAAUAACAACCACACAAAUUAUGUGAGUUUAUUAUUUGUGUGGUUGUUGUUGAGUGUGUAUGUUACAUUAAUUGUAACAUAGGGGCUCCCCUAAUUCAAUUAUCUUUAUAUUUUUAUUAAUUUUAUAUAACAAUAAAAUUUUUAUUUUAUUUACAAAAUUUUUUUAAUUUAUUUAUAUUAUUUUCAAUUAAAAUUAGUGACUUAUUUUAUAAAAUAAUUAAGUUAUAUAUUUAUUGAAUAGAUUGAAAACAUUUGGGAGCUAAAAUUUUAUUAUUGCCUUGAUUUAUUUUUAAAAACUUCUAAUUAAAAAAAAAUCAAUGUAAUAUAAUAUCUUCACUAAUAUUAAAAGUACUUAUAAAAACAAAAUAUAGUAACAACUAUCAAUAUUUUUCAUAAAAUUUUAUAUGAAUUUUUACAUUUUAUUUAUUAGUUAUAUUAAAUAAGAGGACGAGUUAGAAAAUAAAAUUUGAGUAUUUUAAGAAACUUUUGAUAGAAGAAUCAUGAACAUCUAAUUUUUUAAAGGGAGAUAGAGCGCUUGACAAAGAAAUAGUUGCACCCAAACACUUUUUUGUUUCAUUGAAUUUAGUUUAUUAUUGAAACUUUUAAUUAAUAAUACUUUCAUAAUUUGAAAAGAUGAAUAAAUUUUAAUUGUUUAAAUUAUUAAGUUUGAUAAUUUAGUACUUUAUUGCAAAUGUAAAAGUUUUACUUAUUAUUUUUAAUUGAUUGUAAUUACAUGUAUUGAUCUAUUUUAAUUUUAAAUUUUAAAUUGAUUUUUUAAUCCUCAUAUAAUUACAUGUUAUUAUAGGUUGCAAUGUCAUAUUUAUAUAUUGAAAAAUAAUAUUUUCAUAUUUAAGUUGUCUUUUAUUUUUUAUUCUUUUUUUAUAAUUAUUUUUGUUUAUAAUACAUUUUUAGAGGGACAAGGUUCUUAGUGUUCCUCCUUAUUUAAUGUACUUAUUUCUACAUAUAAAUUUUUAUGUUCACUUCAAAAUAUAAAUUUUAAAAUUUAGUCUAGGUAAUAUUAAGUCCUAGGUCCGCCCCUGAUUGUGUUGAAAUAGACAAUUAGAUUUUUGAGACAAAAAAGGCUUCAAAAUCCCGUCUUGGGAAAAAUAGUUUUAAGUGCUUUUUGUAGAAGCACUUUCAAAUUCUGAAUUUUUGGCUUACCCUUAUGCUAGAAUCUUGAAAUGAUGGCAUUUCAUAAAACCAUUUGAUUAGUUUAAUUUCAUGCAGUGAAAAUGCAAAUCCAUAACUUGAAUCCCCUUUAACAUUCAUUUUUAUGCUAAUGUUCAUAUUGAAAUGCCUUUGAAAUGUAUGUUUGUAUUGGAAGUUGAUUGACCCUGUCGACAAGACCGUUGAUAGAGACCUGAAUGUUAUUAAAGAACUGGGAUUGAAGCUUGCAUAUGCCAUGAACACCCAUGUACAUGCUGAUCAUGUCACUGGAACGGGUCUCAUUAAGGUUUGUUAGUAUUCAUUUUCUACCAUUGCUUGUGAAUCUGAUGUCUUAUUUUUACAUGGCUUAAUUGGUGCUUGUUUAUGUACUUGUUUGCUGCAGAGUAAGGUUCCGGGAGUGAAAUCUAUUAUAUCAAAAGCAAGUGGUUCCAAGGCUGAUCUUCAUGUUGAACAUGGGGAUAAAGUCUCUUUCGGUGAUCUCUUCCUUGAGGUAUGUAUAGUUGGUGGCUUCCAAGCUGCACUAAGCAAAUCUUAAAAUUUAUUUCUUAUGGGGAUAAGGUUACUAGCCUGAUAUGAUGUCCUGUUUGCACCAAUCUGUCACAAAAGCAAUAGUUUCCUUUAGGUUUCUUUCCAGUAGGAGCUCAACAGAGUGAAUGACAAAGCAGAUAUGGUUGUGAUGAUGUCUGGAGGAAAGCAUAGAUUGAGGCAUCAGUUGAUAAUUGCCUAAAGUAAUGGCAAAAAACGAUGACAAAAAGGCCUCUCUGCAUCAGAAAGUUUCUCAGAAAUAAAAUUAUUGUACAAGUUCAUUCCUCUGUCUGGACUUUAUUCUAAUAUGAUUACCUAGUUUUGCUGCAGAUAUGAUCUGCUGAGUGUUUUCAGACCUUUAGAAAAUGUGAUACGCAGAAUGGUGUGGAUCUCUGAUCUGGAUUUCUGAUGAUUAAAAUAUUGAGUCCGCAGAGCAAGAAAUCACUUUUCUGGAUAUCUGUUUGCUAAGUAGUUAUCAAACUUAUUUCAUUGAAGAUGGCAUAUGAAUGAUAGAAGUUUUAUGUUUCUGUGAAGAACAAUCAUUGAAAUUAAAUUUGUAAACUACAGGUCGCUGUAUAUGACAUUACUUAUAGAUUUAGUUUUCUGCAAAUUUUGCUGCUUGCUAAAUCAAAUGUAGCUGUGCAGGUUCGUGCUACUCCUGGCCAUACGUUGGGUUGUGUUACCUAUGUUUCUGGUGAAGGACCUGAUCAGCCUCAACCAAGGAUGGCAUUCACUGGAGAUGCCUUACUGAUACGUGGAUGCGGGAGGACUGAUUUUCAGGUAUUGGGUCUUAAAACUACUUGAUCAGGAAAUGAAAAUCUUUUCAGAUAAUUAUUCAUAAAUGUUCAAUUAUCAGAAUCUCACAUAGAGCUGAAAUUUUUUUAAGACAAUAACUGCAUCCUGUUUUAGUCAAAGAAUAAUGGCUGUGCCGUGUGAGUUGGCACAUCUUUCCUAUCAAUUCUGGAAAGAAUAAUGGUUGUGCCGUGUGAGUUGGCACAUCUUUCCUAUCAAUUCUGGAUCAUCCUAAGAUUUUAUGAAGUGUUCUAAUUUUUAUAUCUUCUGUUUGGUAGCUCAUGGAUAAUAAACUAAUGGCUUUUUUUCAUAAAAGGAUGUGGAAUAAACCACUGUGGUGAGUUGUUUUGACAGAAUGCAACUCUUUUAAAAGGGGAUGAUUCAGGUUUUUACAGUGGUGUUUUAUAUUGUUUAACUCCUUCAUAAGCAUUCAAGUACCAUCUGUAGGUUAGUUUGAAACCAUGAGAAAACAACACACUUUAUAGUUGUAAUAUUUUGUUUCUCUUCAGCUGAUCCAUCUUUAUCUUUCCAUUUUGGUGAUUGAUUUUGAAAAGAUGUUUCUUCUUUGGGAUGAUGUUCAUUACAUUAUCAAGCUUCCCUAGUGAUUGAUAAUUUUAUCCCAUAGUGGCAAAUUUAUUAUUGUUAUAUAUUAUCCUGUGUAUUCAAACCAUUUGGAAUACCUACCUGUGAUAUUUCAUUCCACAAGUUUCUUGACUAUCAUAGAUUUUAGGUUCUAACAAUACUCUCCCAUAAGAAAGUUUUGGGGGAUUUUGGGGUAUCAGGAAAGGGAAGAAAGGGCUUAUGUGGUUUUCAUUGCUUCUUUAACAUCUUAUAAAUGAUGGAAGGUGUGCAUAUUUAUUAUUCUUUUGUUUUUAACUCAGACAGAACACCUUCAUGCUUUUUUCUCUUCAUCUUUAAUGAAUGCUUUAUAUGUGGCAAAGAUUUAAUACUUGUUACUUUCUUGAAGGGUGGAAGUUCAAGUCAGCUCUACAAGUCAGUGCAUUCACAGGCAAGGACAUGGGGUUCUGUGAAAAAAAGAACAAGAGUGAAAAAAAAAAAGAAUUUAAUACUUCAAGCCUUCUGUUAAUUGUUACUAACUUUUUUCUUGUGUUUCUAGAUAUUUACUUUGCCGAAGGACACAUUAAUCUACCCGGCUCAUGAUUACAAGGGAUUCACAGUGAGUUAACAGUCAAUGUUGCAUCUUUUAUUUAUAUUUGAAAUAGUCCAAUAACGCGUAAAAGUUGCUUAUACUAUACUGAUAUGAAUUUCAGGUAAGCACAGUGGGAGAGGAGAUUCAGUACAAUCCUCGCCUAACGAAAGAUGAGGUACUUGUUUGGCUAAUGUUGAAUUCUUUUAUUUCUAUGGAUUACUCGUGAUUGCAUUAUCAACUAACUGUUAGAGCCCUUCUAAUUGGGAGGUGGAUUGUCAUUGCUUUUUCCUUAAAAGAGUUUCGGUUAGAUUUUCAUUUUGGGUAUUCUUUUUAUGACAAUACUUUUCACAACAUUUUGCAGGAAACAUUCAAAUCCAUAAUGGAAAGUGAGUAUAUGCAAAUUACAUGUUGAGUUUGAUUUAUCUUAUAUUUAGUUGUAGUCCUUUCUUAAUCUGUAAAACAACUAACAACUGGGACAAAUUUUUUCACUGACAGAUUUAAACCUGUCAUAUCCAAAGAUGAUAGACAUAGCAGUUCCGGCAAAUUUGGUUUGUGGAAUGCAAGAUCUGACCUCCAAAGCCUGAUGAGCUUCCUUGGGCGACGCCCAAAUGGUGAUAACCUCGGUACCUGCUGUUCAAGUUACUCUGUACAAAUGAUAUACAAUGGCUCUUAAUUGGGAUAAUACAAAACAAUAACAAAGAAAAAGUUGUUAAGCACCUACAUAAUGUAUGGAUCAGUGAAAUGAUGAAAAUAAGAUAUAAUUGAAUAUCUUUGUGGGUUGGUGUUGAAUGUCAUAAUUGUCCUGGAAUCUCUGUUGUAGGAAUUGCCUUGGAAUUGUUGGAUAAGGUUUGAGCACUGGAAUUUUGAUGCGUGAAUCCCUUGGCUGGAAAAAUUUAGAUUGAAAUAUAUCUGGCUCAUUCGUCCCAAUAGAGACAAAUUCAUGUACUUUUAAUACUAUGAAGCAUUUGAGGUCCAUGGUUGAGUGCAGCACAUGAAUAGCAGGUCCCUACCAUGUGUUGGAUCCAAUCCCAUUUCCCAAUCCUGCCUUCUUUGGCAAAUCUAUUAAUUCAACUAGCACAAGGCCAACUAGAUUACUUCACUCCUUUGUCCUAGGAGACUGAUUAUUUUAAUUUUUUUAUACAAUAAUUCUCUUCAAAAUAUGGCAAUAUUUUCUUUAAAAGCAUGCAAUAAUUUUACCUAAUUUUCAUCUAAGGUCCUUUUUUUUUGCGUCGGCCUUAGGCCGCAAGUUUUAAAGUUAAAAAAUAGUAUGUAAUCAUAUACUUUCGCAACUAACAAGAUCUCAUUGUGAAAGAUUUUUAUUCUCAAAAGUGAAUAUUUCAAAUGGGUCUAACACAAAUGCUAAACUCAAUAAUCUUAUCCAAAGUUUUGAUAGCAAUUUUUGCCAUGGAUGAAUAAUCAAAGCCAAGGUAACUCCAAUAAACAAAAUAUUUCUUGUGUUUGUAUAACAAUAAAGUUGAUUUUCUUACAAAAAUUGGAAAAUAGACUAAGGUUGGACUUCCAUUCUAAAUUUCAAAUCACCGGAUUGAUUUAUAGAAAAUUUGGUAUAUUUGUGAUUAUCAAUACCAAGAAAUUUAUACAAAUAAAAUUUUCAUGUAAUAAUAAAAAAAAUCAAUAUUUAUUACUUAAAUUUAUUAAGGAUUUCAUUUUGAUGGAAAAAGAAACUACAUUUUUAAAAAUUGCUCUUAAUAUGCUACGUUUACAAAUUCCAAAAUACAUCAACAUUAAUAUCAAAAUUUUUAAUAAAUUUGUCAAAAAAAUUGUUUAAAAUGUAUACAAAUAAAUUUCUAAAAUUUAUUAAAAAAAAUGUUCGUUACAACGUUUUUGGUGAAUUUUGAGAUUAACCAUUUAGAUUUCAAUUUUUUUUAACAAUAUUUUAUAAUAAUAGGAGAAAAGGAAAAGGGAUACUCUUAUUUUAGAAAGAAUAAUGAAUGGCCACACAAAUUCUUUUUGAGAUGCACAAAAUUAUAAUCUUUUUUUUUUUUUUUUGGGGACAAGUCUUCGGCAAUCUGUAUGACUUAUUCAUGAAUGUGAAAAGAGUCAUUAUGUUCCAAACUACGUGAUCAUUUCAUCAAAUCAUGGAUGUUAUUAGUAGUUUUUCCUGAAGAAUUUAAUUUGCCAAACAAAAUCUAAUAACAAAACCAACAAUAAAAACUACAAUAAUACAAUAAAACCUCUCUAUAGUUAUAAUUUUGAAACCAACUAAUUUUAUUAUUAUGAACAGACUAUAACUCAACAGAUAUAUAGUCACAAAAUUAUAUUUUUGACUUAACUAUCCUUAAUGUAAAUAAUAUGCACUACAUUAAUAAUUAGUGUUAAAUUUAACGUAUAGACAUUGAUGAAAAAGAUAGGCAUAAUUUUAAAAACCAGUCCAUACAUUUAUGUACCGUUGGGAGUACGUGAGUUAUUUAAAAAAUUUAAACGUUUUCAUUCUCUUUUAUGUUUCUCUCUUAAUAUAAAUUUUAUAACUACUAUACAAUAAUUUGAUAACAAUUAUAAAAAAAUAACUUAUUGUCUCAAACAAUUUUAGAAAAAAUAUGUUCUCAAUUUUAAACUUUAACCGUAAAACAUUUAUAUAUUUUUUGUAAUAUAUAAAUAAUUAUUUCUAUACAGAAUCAAAUUUCUUAAAAGGAGAUCUAGGCAAAUUUUAAUUUAUUAUAAUAUAACAAUUUAUUCUUACGUAUAAUCCGCUGGAUUGAAAUUGUAAUUAUUUAUAACCACAUUAAGAUUAUUUAAAAACUAUUCAGAUAUUUUACUCUUGACGUGUGCGCAAAUAAUGAAGUUAAAAUGGCAAUAGACAUCACCAUCAGCAAAUGAUCGUACGAAUUGUUAUAUGCUUCAACAGCGUCACACGGAAAUUACAGGACAGCUUCUUGUUCUCUGGCCUCCUCUAAUAACGAAAACUUCAUUGACUUUUGCGUCUUCUCUUUUGCCAAAUCCAAAGAUCCCAAUUCAUCCCAUCAAUCAAGAUCAUGAGUGAAGAUGACAAAAACAGAGCCGUUGUUGUUGGUCAUCAACACCACCAUCACCACCACGAUCAGCAGUCACCACCACCGCCACCGCAACCACCGUCCCAAUUCACCCCACCGGUCAUCACCAUGAGUGAAGACGACAAAAACAGAGCCGCUGUUGUCGGUCAUCAACACCAUCAUCAUCACCCUGAUCAACGGUCACCACCCCCACCACCCCAGUACGGUACGUUUCAAGGCGUAGCCAAUUACCCUCCGCCGCAGCCACCGGCAAUUGGGUUCCCUCAGCCCGUGCCCCCACCUGGCGUUUCCGGCCAAACCUCUUCACAUCUCCACCACCACCAUCAUUCUCCUUACUACCCCCAAGGCUACCAAACUGUUCCAGGUGAAAAUGCGACCAUUUUGGCGAAUAUUUGAUCCAUCGAUUUGUAUUUAAACAAAGUGUAGGGGUGGUCGAUGAUAUUUACCAUUUUUUAUUUAUUUAUUUAUAGGUUAUGCCGUAGCUGAAGGGAGACCAGUGAGAGAGCGUCGCCUUCCUUGCUGUGGUCUUGGUGUUGGCUGGUGCUUGUAAGUAGUUGUUGCUAUUUUUUUAAACUUUUUGUAUAUCAACUCGAUAACAAUGUAAUACUGGGGAUCCAAAUGACUAUCCCUGUAUUUGGGUUCCAUUGUGGCUGCUUAUGUGUAACUGUUACGUCAUGUUAGUCAUUAAGUGUUUAUUAAUUUUUCAUGAAUUAUAGUUUCACCCGUUCCUGAUCAACAUUAAUAACUAAUAUGCUGUAGCAGUGAUAUAAAAUGCCACAUCAAUUGAGAAGCAAACGUUGGGAUAAUGGUUGAGAUCCUAUGGCAUUACUCUUUUGAUGAUCCAUUCAUUUAAUGCUCUUUUUUUUUUUUUUAAAUGAAGGUUUAUUUUGGGUUUCUUCCUUGGUGCCAUCCCAUGGUAUGUUGGGUUAUUUGUGCUGAUGUGUGCAAGGAUUGACAUCCGAGAGAAGCCUGGAUAUAUUGCUUGCACCAUUGCUGUGAGUCACUCUAAACAUAAUUUACUUUUGAGUUUUAAAAAUGGUUGUAUAUUUCGAUCACUGCUAUCACCGAAGUCUCUAUCAUAAUUACGUUGUUACUUACCACACAAAUUUUCGUAAUUUUUUGUUUGUAGUGAGAGUUCGGAGUUAAGUGUCGAAAGGGUGUUCUUAUUCUGUUGUGAAAUUGGCGGAGAUGGUUACUUAUUCCACUUCGUGAUAAAAUCGUUGGUGAUUGCUAUGCUGGAGAUGAAAAUUUAAGUAUUGAAAAUUUGUGUUAGAUCGAUACGAUCAAAUAACCUUUCCUUUCUUAGAACAACGACGUCAUAGAUACCAACAUGUUUGUGUUUAUCAUUCAUUUGGGUUCUCUGUACAUUCCUAUUCCUUAGAGUAAAAGUAUCAGUCUUGCCAGGUUGUUUUUACCGUUGCAUGGUUCUGAUCAAAGUUAUUUUAAUGGAACACUUGAUCAACUUCUCCCAGUUUUAAAUAACGGAACCUGAAUAUCUUUUCAAUUGAUCUUACUUGCUUGUAUGCUCGUACCCAACAAUAGGAAAUGCAGAAUUUAGUACUGUGGAUUUUUUCAGCUCGUGGCUGGAGGCAGUUUUCAGCUUUUUUGUCUGUAAAUUAUUCCAUUAUGUAUUUAGACAGAGAUCAUUAAUUUGAACUGCUAGAGUUCUUUUUCUAUUAUUUUUAACGUGCUCCAGUAAACAGCUGUUGACUUCCAAAACCAUUUUUCAUGAUUGUGUAAGUCUACUGUCCUUUUUGCUAAUACGUUAUCAUAAAAUCCUUCAGUUACAGAGAGGGAGGAGAUAUUGGGAGGGGUGGGGUAAGGAGUGAGAUGAAGCUUGAAAAUAUUUGCUAAUUUGUUCAAGCCUAGGUUCAGGCUUAGCUUGUUUAUAGUUCUGUAAAGGCCAAUGGAAAUUAGGUUUAGAAUUCUGGGGUUUUGUUUGCAAUAAGUUUUCUGUGAAUAGUUGUUAUACCGGGAGGUGCAUACUUGAGUGUAAAACUUCAGUUAUCAAGAAUAUUUUCCUUCAUUUUCUAAUCGAUUUGUCGCUUUUUCCGAUUUUUGUUAAAUGGCCUUGUAGCUUAUGUUUUCGAGCCAUGUUUGAUGCACAUAUUUCAAAUUUGAAUGACAGAAGAUCUGCAAGAUCUUUUCAUCUUUGUUUUGUGGAACCUCCAUUUCUUUUAGCCUCAAUUCUUGCCCUACGCUACUAUAACAGGUGUUUUCUGGCCUUCCUCUUGCAAUGAAGUUUGACUAUGUUAGCUCUGUGCUCGUCUUUUGUGCCAUUUCUGCUUCAAUGUGAUGAGUUCUGUCAAUUUAUUCUUACGCUUGUUUCAUGCAACAGACGUUCUUAAAAUUUUUGAACGGUGAAGGAAACUUCACUGUCAGUAUCAUAAAUACGCUCCUGCAAAACGAUUGUGGGUUUGAACCUGUAAUGUAAUUAACUGGUGGUGAGAGUGCAAACAGUUUACAAGUUUAUGAUGUCUCACAUCUCAUCCAAUUUGCGACAUGCUAAUCCUGCAUCAGAGUGUCUUCAUGUUUUUUUUAGUCAACUAAUGGCAUUUUAUAUGAUCUUGAGAAAAUAUACCUCCGUUUUCCCCGUCUCUUUCCUUCUUGAACCGACGGAAUUGCUUUAAGUGGUAUUUAAUGCUGCUGAAUAUUGGUGACAGAUGCAGAAGCAAAGUUACCUCAAUUAGCAUAGCAAGUUUCAUGGGUGUGAGAUAUGUCAUCUAAAGUUGUACCCUGUCCGAAACAAUUCUCCUUGCAUUAGCUAGCUCUUGUUUUCUGGCCUAGUAGUAAUAUUACCUAAAGUUGUACCUUGUCUUAAACAGUUCUACUUUUUUUUUUUUCCCCCCUCUAUGAAGUUUGGGGUGCAUUCUAUAAUAUUUAGAGUUGCCCCAAAUGGAGAGCUACCAUGUUUCUUCAUCUACACUGCUUAGCUAUUUCUCUAACACAAUGCAAUUUUUGCAGGCUGUUCUUGCUACAAUUGCAAUUAUUCUUGGUGUAACAAAGGGAGCCGAUGAGUGGUAGUUGUACAGGUGAAAAAUGGAUAUACUCAUCUCUGAAGUCCUGAACUGUAUCUGGGGUUUUAAACAUUGUGUGAAAUCGUGAAAGAUCUAGUAAGUCCUUGAAUGUUAAUUAUGGUUAACGGUACUCAACAGAACUGCAGAGACUACAGUGCCAUUUGUUAGUGAUAAUCUUGUUUAUUGAUGGAGUUCUUUGUAUUAUAAGAGAAGAAUAUUUCAGUAUGUGCUUGACUUGUUAAAUUAUGGAAUUAUGAUCAUUUCUUAAUUAUAUGUAUGUUUUUGCAAAUCAUGUGGUACUAAGAUAGUGUUUUGAUUAUGAUAUAAUUGCUUAGGGUUAGGGUUUGAGCUCGACACUUGUACGAAGAAUUGCAGCUACAGAUGAAUCAUGAUUUUAUAUUAUAAACUGUGCAGAAAAUGCUGUGAAAAUCAAUUGGUCCCGUAUAGAAAUGUAUAGUAGUCUUAUUAAUUUGGGGAACUGAAUUAUUAAGUGAAACUAUGUCGCUGUAUUUCAAAUGUAUCUAUUCUCAAUUGAUACACAAAGUUCACUUGCUUUAUUGUGUUUACUUUUCGGAUUACGGAAUCAGAAUCCGAAAUUGAUAACAUUGUUUUCUCUACAAAAUAAAGACGAGAAUUAGAAUUGGAAUCAUAGGGUCCAUACCAAUUUGAGAAUGAGAAAUGAGAAUCUCAUUUCUAAAAUUGAUCAUUUUGUUCUAAUUAAAAUUAUAAUAUGUUGAAAAUAUCCUCAUUUGAAUUAAAAAUUAAAAAUAGCAUAAAAGAAAAACGAUCGAGCUCGUCACUGCCAAAGCUCCCUCACCGUCAUCGAUCGUGGCCUGUGGAGUAGCAGUUGGUCACUAGUCGUCGCGUCAGUGGCAGCAGCAGUCGUGGGCAACAAUCGUCACGUCGUAGAAGUCAAACAACCACCAGGAGCAGUCGUCGUGAACUGAUGAUGAUGAUGCCGAUGAUGAUGAUGUUGCUUCUAAUCUGAUGAUGCUGAUUAUUAUUAUUAUUGAUAAAAGUUUUUAUAAUUAAUGAAUAUAUUAAUGUUAAUAAUAAUAAUAAUAAUUUUUGAUAAAUAAUCAUAAUAAUUAAAAUAUAAAAUGAUAAUUAUGACUAGUAAUUUGUAACAAUUUAACUUAUUUCGUUUUUUAUUUCAAUAAAAAGUAAACAUAUUAGUGGCAAUUUAGUUCAUUUCGAAUCCGAUUCCUAUAGUUCAAGUAAAUAAUUUUUUGUGAUUUUCAUUUCACAUUCUUAUUCCAACCCGUUUUCAUUCUCGUUUAAUAAAUGUACCAUAAAAGUUAGCACUACUAGCAUGUCAUUAUUUACCAUAUCAGUCUACAUCAUUUCACUCAACAAAAGGAUUCUAUUUUACAUAAAAUUUCAGUCACAUCAUGAGAAUAAAAUUACGGGAGUUUGUCAAUUUUUUUUUUAUUAAAAUCAACAUAUAACACUUAUUCCCUAUUGUUAUUGUAGUACUUAAUAAUUUCUCCCACAACAUAAUUUUACAGUAUACCCUUAUUUUAAGUAUAUUUUUAUUCAUAUUUAUUGUAAAUUAAAGAAAUUAUAUAAAUAGGAAUUAAAAUAAAAAAUCAAAUACUAAAAAUAAAAAAUAUAAGUUUUGAUGUGAAUAAAAAAUUAAUAAUAAGAUAUGCUUUUGCUAUUUUUUAUUUUGAACAUUUUUCUUAUAAUAAAUGUAUAUUUUAUAUUCUCAAUAUCAAAUAUCAAUCAAAUGAUCGAUAACUCUUUUUUUUUCUUUAAAUUUUAUUGUGCAAAGAGGUUAUUGAAUAUUAUAAAAAUAAUAUGAGGUAAGUGGUAUAUGUUGAUUUUAAUAAUAGAGAUACCGGCGAUCUGCUUAAAUUAAGUCUAAAAGCCAUCAAUACUCCUAGGUUUCUCAAGUGUAUAGUUUUUGAAAUGGUCAUUCAUGUCUUCAUUUGAAUAAUUAUACCCAAAUAGAAUACAAUUUGGUCAUUGUAAUCGAUGGGCAUAAUUAUCUAAAAAGGAGUUCGUGUGCCCAUGAAUAAACUAAAACUCUAAAAGGGACUUAUAUGGGCAUUUAUAACCUAUUUGGAGCAGCUGCCCCACGUCUAUAAAAGUGGAGAAAUUUUAUCUGAAAUAUAGGAGUUUCUCUCAAAACUAAUUAAAAAUAAAAUUGUUUUAUCAUACAAUUACCCUUAAUCCUUAUUAUAUUAUGCUAUAUUGCUUUAUUAUGACUUUGUAACCAAAUGGAUCCUUCUGAAAAAAAAAAAAAAGAAACAAAUUGGACCAAGGGUUUUGGCACCAAACCCUCAAUGCAAAGCGCCGCAUAUAAACCCCGGUUCCCCUCCUUCACCUGCAGUGAGCCAGCUCUCCUUGGAGGAAAAAUGGUUACCUUCAGGGUAAGUUUUUGAUUCAAUUCCUUUUCUCUUCGUUUAGAGAAAUAGAUUGUUGAAAACGAUGACGUAUUGAUUUGGGUUUCUGUUCGGGGUUGCAGUUUCACCAGUACCAGGUUGUGGGAAGAGCUUUGCCCACAGAAAAGGAUGAGCAUCCCAAGAUUUACAGAAUGAAGCUCUGGGCCACCAACGAGGUUCGUGCCAAAUCCAAGUUCUGGUGAGUAAGGCUUCAUAAUCAUAUCAUUCAUUCAUUUUAUUUCUUAAUGUAAUAAUAGAACCCGGUACAAUUUAUUUUUAUGUUUUGUUAAAUUAGUAAAUGCAGUAUUAAAUUGUCCUAUCAAGAGUUCUCAAAAUUGAUAAUGUAUGGUUUAAAAUCUUUUAUUCUAUGCACAUAUAGAGAUUUGUUGUAGUAAGCACGAUUGCCACAUCUUAUAUUUUAGGCACCCGACUCAUGUGGCAGAGUUGGUCACUUUGUAGUUGUUGUUAUUGCUCUCCUGAACACUUUUCACCAUUACCUGUUGCUCGGGUGUUGAUUUUAAAGAAUUUUUCCUGAGGCUGGAAUUUCCGUAGUGAUUUAAUGACUUUGAUUAUUAUCUUUCGGCUGAUUUAGAAUUUUUUUCUUCAUGAAAUGUGUCUUUUUUGUUUAGUCUCCUUUUUCGGCUGUUAACUUUUAUCUUGUUGUCCUGUUUAGGUAUUUCUUGAGGAAGCUGAAGAAAGUUAAGAAGAGUAAUGGGCAGAUGUUAGCAAUCGAUGAGGUAUGUCUUUGCUGCAUCUUGUUAAAUAUCACUCUUUUUUGUUUAUUACUUCUUGCUAUUGCAUAAGUAUUAGUGAAGAGGGGUCGGCACCUUCCAGUGUGCAGCUUUAGAUUUCCAUCUAAACAACCUUCUCUUUUGGCACUUAAAUGAGUGGGUGUAUUUGAUUUGGUAUUGAUAAUAUCAGAAUGCAUGAAAAUUCAGUGAGCAUGUUACAAGUGCACGACUUCAUAUGACCUUAAUUCUCUUGUUGAAUAGCACAAGCAAAUGAAGUUUGGAUGCAAAUAAAGAGUGUGAAUAUCUUAUAUAUGAGUGUUUCAACUCCUGGUUUAACAUUUUUGACAUGUUUAAAUGCAAUUCUUACAAUUUAAAUGAAUGAUAGUUUCAUAGUGUUUGUGCUGAGAUUACUUGUCUAGUGAGUUGAGGUUGCUGCUUCUUUAAAAUUUUUAUGCAUGGUUUUGUUCAAAUUAAUUCAAUAUUUGGGGACCGCAGAAGUUUUUCUUGAUAGACUGGAUGGAUAUAAGAGGGAUCAUUUUUUGAGAUUUCUUUAACUUGAUUUGUGACUUUGGCAUGGCAUCUGCAAGAACUUUCUGUUUUAGCUUCAGGUAAUAAUUUUCAUGGUAUUCUUUGGGCAGUAAAGUUUUAAAGGCAUUAAAUUUUGAGUUAUUCAAUCUAAGUGAGAGUUAAUAUAUGCUUUCAUGUGAACCGAAGAAGAUGACAUGCAUUGUAGAAAAGUUAAAAAACUUAACAUGUCUCUUAAUGAAAGGUUUCCCAAUUUGCAUAGGUAGUUGCAUACUUGGAAAUCAGUAAUGGAGUUUUUGCCGUUUCCUUUCCAAAUGGAAGUAAGUCUCUUGGCUCUACUUCUUAAAUGGAAAUAACAGAUGUACGACCAUUCUAUUUUUUGUUAUUAUUGAAACGUGAUGGCUAUUAGUUGUGUCUACCUGUGCUGGUCUUCGAAUCAAAGGUUUUAUGUGCACUUUAACAGUCACUCUGAGGAAUUAUAUUAUUGCACCAUUGCAGCAUCCCAUAUGUCAACAUGUUGCUACAACUUCUUUAUGAUUUGUAGUAUAUAUUUAGCAUAUAAUCCUUAGAAGGUGUAUGAGUAUGUCGCUCUUUUUUAAUUUAUAUGGUGGAUUUUUAAGUGCUCUGCUUUAUGCUUUAUGAUAAGAUUAUCUUUGUCUAAUUUCUUUAAUUUGUACUGCAGAUUUUUGAGAAGAAUCCUACCAAAAUUAAGAACUAUGGAAUCUGGUUGCGAUAUCAAAGCCGAACUGGGUAUCACAAUAUGUACAAGGAAUAUCGAGACAUUACUCUUAACGGUGCUGUUGAGCAAAUGUACACUGAGAUGGCUUCUCGUCACCGAGUACGGUCUCCAUGCAUUCAGAUCAUCAGGACAGCCACAAUACCAGCCAAGCUCUGCAAGAGAGAAAGCACAAAGCAGUUCCAUAACUCCAAAAUCAAGUUCCCUUUAGUGUUCAAGAAAGUUAGGCCCCCCACGAGGAAGCUCAAGACCACAUAUAAGGCGUCAAGGCCCAACUUGUUCAUGUAACCUCCUUAAAUGGGCGUCAGUGCUUUGCAUUUUGCAUUCUCUUUUUCCGGCACAAUACGACUGUCUUUUUUAGUUUUUCAUACCAUUUCUUUUACAAGUAUGGUUUCAGAAUCUGAUUAGAAACCUCUGUUGAAUUGUUCUUAACUUAUGAAGUUGCUCACCUUCUUUUGAAAAAGCUGUGACAUUCUUUUCAUCUUUUGUUCUAUUUCUUCAAGUGAAAGGAAAUUUUGAGUAAGUUUUGUGUAGCUACUCGUAUAAAGUUUCUAUAUUGGGGCUUGUAAAGCUUACUAUUUUCAUCUAUUUAUUUUGGUGGCAUUUUUUUUUUGUUUGAAAUUUUAAUAGAUUUGAAUUAAUCUGAAUUAUGAAUAAAACUGAAUAUCUGAAUUUGAAUGAUAUGUUUUUUUUUUUUUGUCUAAAUUGCUUUUAUUUGAAUUGUUAAACAAAUAAUAAACAUCAUAAAAAAUAUAAAUGAGAUAAUAGAUUAUCAUAACAUAAAUUAUAUUCAAUUGAAUACGACUUUUUAGUGUUUUAAAUUAGUAUAUGUUAAUCAAUUUUAUUGUAGUUAAUGAUAUUUUUAUAUGAAAAAUUAUGAAGAUAAAUAAUUUUAAUAUGAAGAAAAUUAAAAAUUAAAAAUUAAAAAUAAUAGUGUACUAUAAAAAUUAAUUAAUUAGAUAGAAAUAUCUUAGAGAAUAUCUUUUAAAAAUAUUAUUAAGACUUUUUAGAUUAAACAAAAAAUUUAAAAAUUAGCUUGAUAAUUGAAUGACUUAGUGAUUGAAAAUUUUCAUUAAGUUGAAAAAAUAAAUGGACUCAAUGAUUUAAAUGAUUAAAAUUAAAUUAAUUAAGCUUAAAAAAAAAAAACAGCCGAUUGGUACACCAUAGUUUGUGACCUUGGUUAUCAUGUUUGAGAAUCGUGGAUUAUAUUCAUGAUAAAGAUAAAUGAAAUAGGAGUAGAGAUGAAGAUGAUAGAUCCAUUGCGUCUUGUCUGUAUCACAAAGCAGAGUUCUAAUCGUUUUGUAUUUCUCUGAAAGCAGACCCCAAAAUUAAGCAGAGCCAUUAAUCCCCAUAACAGUAGAAUUGAAAUUCCGUAUAAGCCAAGACAAAGUGGACCUACAUUCGUGUGAAAGCAGAGCACAUCAUGCUGCUCGAUUGUGCAUUUACGAAAAGGCAUUAUAUUUCCUGGCGUCAUAUGACAGAAUACAGAUCUUGUUUCUAGAUGCUUGCCAUUCAAAUGCAGGUUUAGAUUUUAUUUUACAAACAUUUAUACUUCAAAAUUCUUACUAUAUGAAUUUUAGUUUAUUUUUUAAAAUUAAUCGAUCCCAUACGGUCUAGUUCUAGAACAAUGUCCACAGUUCACAGUCACAUGCAAGCUUGACACGUAUCGUUAACACCGCUUACUGGGGACAAUGUCUUUGUCCGGGGAAAUUCUGAAAUCAUCGAUCCAGAAAACACCUAAUCAAAAACACAUGCAAAGGAAAACGAUUUUCUCAUUCGCUUGAUGACUAUAUAUACCAUUCUCGUUCGUCUCUGCAAAUUUAAACCCACAAAAUCUGUCGGUGUGAAAUGGAGUUGCCUCUGAAAUCCAUAGCUUUGACCAUUGUUAUUGUAACGGUGCUAACAUGGGCAUGGAGAGUGCUGAACUGGGUGUGGCUGAGGCCCAAGAAGCUGGAGAAAUUCCUGAGACAGCAAGGUUUAAAAGGCAAUUCUUACAGGCUUCUGUUUGGUGACUUGAAAGAAAAUUUCAUCGAGUUGAAGGAAGCAAAAGCCAGACCCCUCAGUUUGGAUGACGAUAUUGCUAUUCGUGUCAAUCCAUUCCUUCAUAAACUGGUAAAUGAUUAUGGUAUGUAUGUCAAUCCCGGCGUGUACUCUUUUAACUUUACUCGUUCAAAAGUAUAUUUGUUCUGUUCUGGACUCAAAUGACUCAAAUACGCCACUGCUUAAAGAAUUCAUCCUGUCUGAUGAAAGAAAUUUGAUUAGACUUCUGAUUCAGAAGAGAUGGUUCACGUAAAGAUAAUUCUUGAAACAUAAUUUUGGUGGGUUAAAACAUAAUUUUAUUUUUACGCUUCUUUGAUCAGAGAAAAAAAUCGAUGUUGCAGCUAAACUUCUCUCUCUCUCUUUUUUUCUUUUUAAUUAAGUGGUGAUACUUUACCACUCAGCCUUGACCGAGUGGCUAGAACCACUAUUGUCUUGAUGAGAUAGGCGUGUGGGUGUAAUUCAACCUGUGGAUGGGCUAUGCCACAUGUAAAAUUCCCAGAGGGCAGCGUCGUUGCUUUUGCUGAGUGUUGUCUGAUUAAUUCACUGUUUCAACGCCGUUAGGCUUUUACAUAAUCUUAUGAAAUCGUGCCAUGUUUCUAAUUGUUUACCUUAUAAUGGGCAAAGUUGCUUGUUAGAUCUUUUCUGCUUGAAGUAAAAUCAAUUAGUAUGAAUGGUUAUUCUUUGACUGAUUUGUGAAUAAAAUCACUAAAUUUUUACAGCUUAGGUAUACUACCAUUUUCAAUGUACCAUCUGCCUCUAACAAGUAACAUGUGCAAAUAUUGGUAAAAAAUUUCUGCAGGUAAGAAUUCUUUCAUGUGGUUUGGUCCGACACCAAGGGUGAAUAUUAUGAAUCCUGAUCAAAUAAAAGCGAUAUUUACCAGGAUCAAUGAUUUUCAAAAAGUCAAUUCAAUCCCACUUGCCAGGCUGCUGAUAGUUGGAUUGGCUACCCUUGAGGGGGAGAAGUGGGCUAAACAUAGAAAACUCAUCAACCCAGCCUUCCACCAAGAGAAGCUCAAGGUUUAUUAAUUAACUUCUCCAUUUGUUUACAUAUCUUUGGAAGAUUCGAUUUUGCCCUCAUUUAGAUUUCUUGCUUUUGUUACAGCUUAUGUUGCCAGCAUUCUACUUGAGUUGUAUCGAAAUAAUUACAAAGUGGGAGAAGCAAAUGUCUGUAGAAGGAUCAUCUGAGUUGGAUGUAUGGCCUUAUCUUGCAAAUUUGACAAGUGAUGUGAUUUCUCGAACGGCUUUUGGGAGUAGUUAUGAAGAAGGAAGAAGGAUUUUUCAGCUCCAGGCAGAGCUAGCUGAACUCACAAUGCAGGUCUUUCGUUCAGUUCACAUUCCAGGAUGGAGGUAUAUUCACAUUUCUCUUCACUGGAAACAUUCAUAUAUACAUGUCAUAUAGGAUUAUUUAUGAUUAGGCUUUGAUUAACUUUGCGGGAGUUAUUUUCUUUCGCGCAAAAUAUUAGAAGUAGACCUAGCUGAUUCGGCUCAGAUAUCUUGAUUGUGCUAAUCAUAGAGUUAUUCUAAGAGGCUCCAGCAGAUUUCUGAUUGGUAAAAAGAGGGCAAAAAAAAAUUAAGGGUUUGAUUAGUUUGUUUAGUUCUUGUCUUUUCAGUUGUUUCAUUGCUUAUAUAUAGGUUUUUACCUACAAAGAGAAAUAGGAGAAUGAAAGAAAUUGACAAGGAAAUCCGGGCUUCAUUGAUGGGAAUCAUCAAAAAUAGGGAGAAGGCAAUGAAAGCAGGGGAAGCUGCGAACGAUGACUUGUUAGGCAUACUGAUGGAAACCAGUUUUAGAGAGAUUGAAGAACAUGGAAAUAACAAAAAUGUUGGGUUCAGCAUGAACGAUGUGAUCGAAGAGUGUAAGCUAUUUUACUUUGCCGGCCAAGAGACUACCUCUGUUUUGCUUAAUUGGACGAUGGUCUUAUUGAGCAAGCAUCAAGAUUGGCAAGAACGUGCAAGGCAAGAGGUUUUGCAAGUGUUUGGCAAUAAUAAGCCCAACUAUGAUGGAUUGAAUCACCUCAAAAUUGUAAGUACGAAGGAAAUAGUAUUCGAUAUUGAUCAAUUUGAUCAUAUUAAUCUCAGUUGUGUUUGUAUGUAUGUGACAGGUCCAGAUGAUACUUUACGAGGUACUCAGGCUUUAUCCGCCCGUAACUGCGCUUAGUCGAUCUGUUCUUAAGGAAACGAAACUCGGAAACUUGACAUUACCCGCUGGGGUUCAAAUUGGCUUGCCAAUGAUCCUAGUUCACCAGGAUCCUGAACUUUGGGGUUACGAUGCAGUUGAGUUUAAGCCGGAAAGGUUUGCGGAAGGAAUUUCAAAGGCGGCCAAAAAUCAAGUUUCAUAUUUCCCAUUCGCAUUGGGUCCUAGGAUAUGUGUUGGACAAAAUUUUGCUCUAGUAGAAGCAAAAAUGGCCAUGGCAAUGAUUCUUCAAAACUACUCAUUCGAGUUGUCUCCAUCCUAUGUCCAUGCUCCAACGGCGGUUCCAACCCUUCAUCCGGAACUGGGUACCCAAUUGAUUCUACGGAAACUAAGGUGCAAAAAUAAUUAAUGCCGGCAACUAUAUAUUGUCAAUAAGAUUAGCAUGAUGCCAAUGUAGACUCUUUUAUAAUGAAGUUUAAUGUAUUUAAUUUUGUAUUGAGAUUCAAAGCUUAGACAAGAGCUGUUUAGAUUUUUAAAUUGAGCUCAACACAACUCUAGUUUUAUUUAGAGUAAAGAUGUUUCCCCACAUUGGAAAAUUUUAUAACGCCAUGAUUAGAAUUACAGCAUUAAUGUUGUGGUAAAAAAUAUAUUUUAUAAAAGGCCAAAAGCUUGCUUAGUCCCUACAUUAUGAGCUUAGUGCUCAUUUAAUCUCUAUAUUUUUAAGAAUACCUCAAAACGUCCUUACUAUUAAAUAUUGACAUUUAUACCAUUAUUUUUUUAGCAUGUUUUUACAAUUUUACACUCUUACAGUAAUGUUUCUUUUUUAGAAAUUAAUAAAAAAUUGGAUUAUCAAAUUAAACCCAAAAAUAAAAUAAAAAACAAAAAAGAUAUAUAUUAAUUUUUGUGGAAGCUCAUGUGUGUCCAAAAAAAAAUAAUUUUGUAAAAAAUUAAAUUAUCAAUUUUGUAAAAAAUUAAAUUAUCAAUUUUGUAAAAACUUAAAUUAUCAAUUUUUUUUUAAAAAUUAAUAUUUUAACUUCUCAGCAGAGUGUUCCACAAAAAUUAAUAUAUAUAUUGUUUUUAUUUUAUUUUUUGGUGUUAAACUAGUAAUUUAAUUUUUCUUUUUAAUAAUGUUUAAAAAAGGAACAUUAUUGUAAUAGGGUAAUAUUGUAAAAAUAAGUCAAAAUGAACAAAAGGUAAUGGCAAGGAUGUCAAUAAUUUAAUGAUAGGGAUGUUUUGAGAUGUUUUUAAAAAUAUAAGGACUAAACGGACACUAACCUUAAAAUAUAGGAACUAAACGAACUUUUACCCUUUAUAAAAUUAUACAUAAGAUAAGUGAUUGGAAGAUAAAACAUGUAAAUUAAUAUAAGCCAGUUAAUUAUUAAAACAAUUAACAUGAUUUCUACAUAAUUUUAGUGAAAAAUAAUUUUUUCAUUUACUUUAGCUAAACAAUGAAAUAAAAAUAGUCAUCAAUCUAAGACCAAAAAAAUUAUACUAAAAACAAGUAGAAUAAGUUUUACUGAAUUGGUUUAAGAAUAAAUUCUAUAUUUGUCUUAAGAUAUUUAUAAACUUUUUUUUUUCAUUUUCUAUCAUUGUUUUUUUUUUACUACACAAGUUAACUAAGUGAAAUAAUUUAUCUUAAUGUGGAUUAAACAAAAAAUAAAAUAAAAACAUGUUCUUAUAUUACUAAACACAUAUAUGACAUAUCAAUAAAGUUAGAUUUAAUUUUGAGUUUUACAAGUACUUCUUGUAAUUUUAACCGUGACCCCUUACUUGUAUUUAGAAACUAGUUGCAUUACUGAUGAGGAGAUUUAGAAGGAUGAAAAAUCAUGUCAUCUUACAAUAAAUUCAAAAAACAUUAAAAGAAUAGAUUUCAAAAUCUAAUUUUGAGAAUAAAUUUAUAUAAAACAUCACAUUUAUUACAUAAGACCAAAACUAUCAUUAUUCAAUUUAAAAUAGAAUUAAUAAAUAUAUAAGGUAAUCAAUAUUAUAAUGAGUUUUUAUUUUACAUUUGUAAGUUUUUUUUAAUAACUCUUAUAUUAAUUUUGUAAAUUACACCUAAACUUAUGUUUUAUUUGUACUUAAUAUUGAUUUAUAGUUUUAUAUUAUGUCUUUAAAUUUUUAUUUUGUUCACUACCAAUACAUUAAUUUACCAAUCUUAUAUUAAUUUACUUAUUUUAUCUUUUAUUUACAUGUCUUAUGUUUCAUUUACGCAAUUUAUAUUUUAUUUCACACUAAAUAUUGAUUUAUAAAUUAUAUAUUACAUUUGUAAGUUUUUCUUUUGUUUAUCAAUAAUAUACCAGUUUAUCACUCCUAUUUUAAUUUGUUUGUUUUACCUUCUACUUACAAGUCUAAUAUUUUAUUUACAUAAUUUAUAUGUUAUUUCACAGUUAAUAUUGAUUUACAUGCUUUAUAUUAAAUUUAUAAGUCUUAUGUUUCAUUUACAUAAUUCAUAUUUGAUUACAUAAAUUCAUGACAUCAUCAAGUGACCUUGUACUUUAUAAUCGGGUGAGGCUAUUUAUUUAUAUAUUCUAAAAGUUAUUUUUAAUCCUCUUUAUUUAAUAAAAUUUUAUAUUAUAAAAAUGUCCUUUUAUGAAAUUAGUAUUAAGGAUUGAAUAAUUUUAACUUGAAACAAAUAUCCUUGACACACCCAUGUAUUAUAAAAUCUUAAAUCACCAUCAUCAUCUUCUUCUUCUUCUUUUUAAAUCAAUUUUUUUUCAAUUGGAAAAUUUGAAAGAUUGAAGACUUCUUUGCAAAUUUUUGUCAUGGGUGCACGUAUCCUCACUCUAAUAUCGUUUUCACCAAAUAUAUUUCAUUAACAUCUUCGAAAUAAGAUUAAUGGAAAUUAUAUUUAUGUAACUGAUACCUCAAUGAUAAAUUGUAGCCAAUACAUACUAAAAAUCAAAAUCACAAGAACUAUGAUUCAAUAAAAGAAACGAAGAAUUAUGAUUCAAUAAAAGAAAAAGGGAUAUAUAAUUUAUCUCAAGCCUUUAAUAAGAAGAGAGAAAAUUACUUUAGAAAAAGAAUAAUAAAACAGGAGCCCCCCAAAAAAAAAAUUCAAGACUAUUUUUUAGAUUUAUAUAUUUUACAUAGUAAAAAUUUGAUUUUAAAUUUUAAACGUUGUAUUUGAAAUAAUGAGUGCGCAGGCGGACCUAAGCGGGGGUGUAGCCCGGAUUAGUCCAGGAAAGUUAUUUAUAGCCCUUAUUUUUUUAUUAAUUUUAUAUAAUAAUAUAGUUUUAUUUUUUUUCAUAUUUGUCCCUAAUUUAACUACCCUUAUGUUUUUUUUUAUCAAUUUUAUAAAAUAAUACAGUUUUUAUUUUAUUUUCAAAUAUGUUCCUAAUUCAAUUAUAUUUUCUUCCCAAUUGGAAUUAGUGACUUAUUUCAUGAAAUAAUUAAAUUAUAUAUUUAUUGAAUAAAUUGAAAAGAUUUGGGAGCUAAAAUAUUAUUACUGUUUUAAUUUAUUUAUAAAAAUAAUUUAAUUGAAAAAAUGCCAAUACUUACAAAAACAAAAUAUAGUAACAACUAUAUAUCAACAUUUCUUAACUUUUAUGUGAAUUUUGAGAUUUUAGUUAUUAGUUACAUUAACCAAGAGGAUAAGUUAUAAGAUAAAAUUUAAAUAUUUUGAGGAGUUUUUGAUAGAAAAACCGUCAACAGUAGGUUCUUUAAAAAAAAGGUAGAGUGUAUGACAAAGAAACAAUGAUACCCAAAUAACUUUAUGUUAAGUUGAGUUUAGUUUAUUAUUAAAACUUUUGACUAAUAAUAUUUUAAAAUUUAAAAAGACGAAUAAAUUUUAAUUGUUUAAUUUAUUUAAGCUUGGUAAUUAAGUACUUGACUUCAAAUAUAAAAGUUUUACUACCAUUUUUAAUAAAUUGUGAUUACAUGUAUAGAUUUAUUUUAGCUUGAAAUUCUCAAUUGAUUUACUUAAAGGUUUUAUUGAGGACUUUUUUAGUAUUUUAAAAAGUGUGCAGAGUUAAAGAGAGUAGCUUUUUCAGUAUUUUAUGAGAUCGUGGCUGCAGCUGUUAAGAGAGUAGCUUUAAAAGGAAAUGUGGCAAACAUGGAGGCAGAAGCAGUGCUGCUUGGUAUUCAAGUAGCUCAGAAAACAAAUUGUACCCUAUUCAUUGUCGAAUCAGACUUGAAGGAAGUUGUGGAGCUCACUUUAAACAAGAAGGAAAGUUUAGCUAAAAUUUGUUGGAACAUUGAAGAAAUACAAGCAGAGUUGAAAAACCAGGCCUCGGCAGCUAUUCGUUUUGUCCCAAGAAAGUGUAAUGUAAUAGCCCAUAACUUAGCUAAUGUAGCUCUUGAGUUUGAGGAUCCUAUCUAUCACAUGGAUAGGUGAUUUCCCUGUCCAGCUGUUGAUGUUGUUCUCUUCUUCUUAAUCAAUUGAAUGCUUUACUUUCUCAUAGAAAAAAAAAGAGUGUGUGCAGAGUAAAAAUUAAUUAUUUUAAAGAGUGAGUAUAUUUGAACCCACCAAAUUACUUUGUAAACUCAUCUACUUAUUAAUUCUAUUGUUAAAAAUUUUAUAUUAUACUUUAUAAACCCAUGUUAAUAACCAACAUAUCCUUGAAAUUAAUUCAUGAUUUUCUGCAACAUUUUUCUUCUCUUCUUCUUCUUCCAUCUCUCCAACCCUUGGCGCAUUCAUAACCAAAGGUCGUAUCCUUCAACUUCUCAAGUGGAAUUUAUUUUUUGUCCGCGCUUGUCAUUAAACUAUUAUAAAGUAUAUAUAAUAUCAUGAAAAAAUUAAAUGACAAUAAGAUGAUAGUUGUAAUCAAUAAUCAAUUGAUUACACAACUAAUUCAAACGCUCAAUAUUUGUCAAUGGCAUAACUCUUCCCUUUCUUAUACAGUGCAAAUUUAAUGAAAUAAAUUUUAGGGAAAUUAUCAGCCAUAUACCUUUAAAUGACACCCGCAUCAAACGUGUGUGAACACUUUUCAAGUGUAUUACUCGUAUAUCCUAAGUUGACAAAAUACUUCUGACAUCCAACAAUCUGUUAACUUUCGUUAGAAAGUUAACAGAAUUGUGACAAAUUGACUAUUUUGCCUUUGAAACUCAAAAUAAGGUAAAAAGAUAAAUUUACUUCAAAAGUUAACGUAAAUUUUCAAUACACAAUUUUUUUUAUUUUGUUAUUAACAAUACAUUUUUUUGAUUAAAAAAUGAAUUAUUAAUGGUAUAUAUUAUUAACAAUUAUUCAUAAAAAAAAUCCAUAUUAUACCAUAAUAAAUUAUUAACAACAUAUUAUUUACACUUAUACAUAUUAUACCAUAAAAAUUUCCAAUUGGAGCUUGGAGGAGUGGAUUUUCAAAAAUUUAGGUUAAAUUUUGGAGGAGUAGAUUCGGUUGUAAAGUAGUUUUUUUUAGCAAUUAUUAAAAAUUAUCCGAUAAAUGGGAUGACAUGUCAUUGUUAUCAAUAUAUAUCAUAUGAUAUGUCAUUUUUUACUAGGUAAAUGGGAUGACAUGUCGUUUUUUAAUCAAAGUUUUGUCAAUCUUAAAAGACUAAAUUACCCUUAUGAUGUCAACACUUGCAAAAAGAAGUUAACGGAUUGGUGGACGGAAGAAGUGUUUUAUCAACUUAGGGUACACGAGUGAUACACUUAAAAAGUGUUCACACAUGUUUGAUACAGGUGUCAUUUAAGAGUAUAUGACUGAUAAUUUUCUUAAAUUUUAUUGCUUGAAUCUAAAAUAUCUUGACUAGAACUUAUUGGUUUAUUGGAUUCCAAUGAGCUUUACUGGUGAGAUAGUUUUGACCAAAUCCAAGUAUCCAACAACUUGAUUGGAUUUGUUUUCGACCAAAGGAGUUGAAGAAAAUUUAAAAAAAAAAUUAAAAGUAUGAAACAAAUUUUCUCUUAUGUCUACAUUGAACAGAUUUAGACAUGAUUAAAAGAUGAGAGCAUGAAGUAUAUACAUACUAUUAUGUCUUUAAUAGUAAUUUACGUUAGAGAUAAUUUAGUAGUAAAAAUGUUUUCUAAAAAGUGGUUCAAAUGAGUAUUAUGGUGGAUUCAAAUAGUCCCACCAUUUUUCAAAAGAUUAGGUUAUUUAUACUCCAAAAAUUACUUUGAACACUUUAUUACUCUGUACAAUCAUGUGCUGGAUUUAAAAUAAUUAAAUUUUACUUUCUACACUCUUUAAAAUACAAAAAAAAGACCUUAGUUAAACUAGUUAAACUAAUUUACUCAAAACACCAAUUAAACUAUUGAGCAUCCAAAAUGAAUUAAUAACAACUUAGUAUAUACACAAAGGAAUCAAAUUAUAUUCUAAACAUAUUCUUUGUUAGCUUUUGUCUAUUAAAGAAUGUAUUCAAUAUUAGUUUUUGCACCCAAUUUUUUAACCAAACAAUUGAAAAAAAUUUUGCCAUCUAGCCCCCCAAAAAAAAAAAAGAAAAAGAAAGAAAAAAGGAAAAAAAGAGGAAGAAGAAAUAGACGAAGAAAAAGAAGACUAAAAGAAGGAUGAGGAAGAGGAAGAAGACUGCAAUUUUUUUUUUCUUCUGAAAAUCAAAGAGUAAAAAUAUGCUCAAAAUAUAUUAAAAGUAUUGAUUUGCUCUUUGUUUAACUAAAUAUUGUUUAAGUUAUUGGAUUUAAAUUUUUUCGGGUUUAUGGCAAGAUAAUCAUAUAUUGAAUAGCGAGUGUUUGGAGUAAUUUUAUUAUGUUAGUUUAUAAGAGAGAUUCCAUAUUAGUAAUUCAUAUAAUAGGUGUUUUUGUAAUAAAAUAAUUUAUUAAAAUAAGAAUAUUCAUAGUAAUGUUAAGAGUGCAAAUAGCCCCACCUUUUUUAUAAAAUAAGUAAAUGAGUAUACAUAAAUAAUAGUAUAUUUUGAGUAUUUUUUCAAGCGCAAAUAGGCCCACCAUGCAUAAUUUAUUUAGAUGAGUUUUAUUUUAUUUAUUUUUUGUUAACUUCAGUUAUCUCUAAAUUAUCGUAAACCUUAAUUUACCCUAAUGAUCAUUCAAAAAAUACGAUCAAAUGGGAACAAUAGAUGAUUUCUUUUUUCUUUUUUUACCUUCUUAAUAGUAAUUGUGGAUUGAUUAAUGUUUAUUAUAGUUUGAGGAUAUUUUGAGAAUAAUUAAUGUAUUAGGGGUAAACAAUUUUUUUUUUUUCAAAUAAUUAACCGAACUUACAUUCUCUAGUUCUAUAGAAGACAGUCAAUGAGUGACAAGUCCACAAAGAUCACCACAUGCAUGAUUGAUAUUGACACGUGUACCAUUAGCUGGAGACAAUAUAAUGGUACAGGAAGAUUCGAAACAAAGAAAAGCCAUUAAACAUAUGCAAACGAAAAUAUGUUUUUAAUUCACUUUCAACUAAUCUACCACGUAGGCAAGUCUCAUUUCUUUGAACACUUCAAAAAUCUCUGUGUGUGAAAUGGAAUUGCCCCUGAAAUCCAUAGACCUGACCAUUGUUAUCGUAACAGUGGGAACUGGGCAUGGAGAGUGCUGAACUGGGUGUGGCUGAGGGGCCCAAGAAGCUGGAGAAAUUCCUGAGACAGCAAAGGUUUCAAAGGCAAUUCUUGCAGGCUUCUGUUUGGUGACUUGAAAGAAAGUUUAGACGAUAAUAUCUCGACUGGAUUGUGCCAUUAUUAAUCAAACUAAUUCAGUUUGCACAAUUGUAGAGCUGAUAUAAGUAGAAGAAAUCCAAAUAGACUUCUCGUUAUAAAUGUAGUUAGUAGAGAUCAUACACAUCAAGAUAAUUCUUGAAUAUUUUUAUGGGUUAAAACGUAAUUUUAUUUUUAUUAAUGAAGAAAAUAUGUAUGGUGUUGAAACAUUUAAGCUAUGUUGUUUGCGAGACCAAUAAUUUUCUUGAUAUCAUGGGCUAAUGGGUGUAACUCAAGCUGUGGUAAGUUAUGCCACGAGCAAAAUAACCAGAGCUUAAAAAUUGAUGCAGGCAAUAAUUCAUUUAUGUGGUUCGGUCCGACACGAAGGUUGAAUAUUGUGAAGCCCGAUCAAAUCAAAGAGAUAUCUACCAAGAUCAAUGAUUUUCAAAAAAUCAAUUCAGAUCCACUUGCCAGAUUAUUGGCACUUGCAUUGGUUAGCCAUGAGGUGACAAGUGGGUUAAUAUAGAAAUCUUAUCAACUAGGUCCACCAAGAGAAGCUCUAGGUUAUUAAUUGAUUUCUUCAUUUGUUUACAUAAAUGUCUUCAUUUUAAUUUCUUUCUGUUUCGUUUCAACUUAUGUUGCCUGCGUUCUACCAAAGUUGUAGUGAAAUAAUUACAAAGUGGGAGAACCUGACGUCUAAAGGAGGAUCAUGUGAGUUGGGUGUACGGCCUUCUCUUGCAAAAUUAACUAGUGAUGUGCUUCCUAGGACGGCUUCUGGGAGCAAUUAGCAAUGUAGGAGUUGAUUUUCUUCAAAUAUUAUGGAAGUAGGUUUGGACCAUCCUGGGCUUAUUACUUCGAUCCAUGUCAUCAUAUAUUUAAUCUAAGAUGUUAAUCAUAUUGUUGAAAUCGAUAAGUAGGACUUGAUUAGUGCAUUCAAUACGUUCUUGUAUUUUCUAUUGUUCUUAUUUCUUAUGGGCAGGCAUGUACCUUCAGAGAGAAAUAAGAGAAUGAAGGAAAUUGACAAGCAAAUACGAGCUUCACUGAUGGGAAUCACAAAAAACAGAUAGAAGGCAAUGAAAGCAGAGGAAGCUGGAAAUGAUGACUUGGCAUACUGAUGGAGACCAAUUUUAGAGAAAUUGAAGAACUUGGAAACAACAAAAAUGUUGGAAUAAGCUUUAACGAUGUGAUCGAAAAGUGCAAGCUAUUUUACUUUGCUGGCCAAGAGACUACCUCUGUUUUGCUUAAUUGGACAAUGUUGCUAUUGAGCAAGCAUCAAGAUUGACAAGUGUUGAGUGUUAGAAAAUGUAUAUUAAUAAAGGAGAAAAUCGUCAUUUUACACUUCAAGUCUCACUAACAUCCUUACUUUUCUAUAAUUAAGUCCCUUGUGAUUUAAUUAUGUGUGUUUUAUUUUAAUGAAGUAUUUUAUGUAUUUUAGGGGCAGCAUGGUCAUUUCACAAUUAACGAAAGAUUAGAGAGCAAAACAUAUAGCAAUUUUGGAGUCAGGACAGUCAAAAGCCUUAGGAGGAGCAUACAAGGAUAAAUAUUACUGUUCAUAUGUACGGUACUAUACAUGAUACUAUUCACGACGUUGUUCACAUAUACGGUAUGAUGACAUGUCAUUGACCGAUGACGUGGCAUUGACCAAUGAUGUGGCACAGACCGAUGAUGUGACAGUAUCGAUUGGACGAGUGAUGUGGCAUUAACUGCUUAUGUGGCGGUGACUGAUGAAUUGGCGUUGACCGAUGAUAUGUCACGAUCCUAUUGGCUAAAAUAUUGAUGUGGUGUUGACCGGUGACGUGGUAGUAUGUUAGUGGAGAAAAAAACGUGCAUACGGUACAUGCAUAUACACAGAAUAACAGCCCUGAUGAGGUGUUCUAUCCAAUCAGAACUUGCCACGUGGCGCAAUCCUUAGCAUCUAAAUUUUUUUAAUUUGAUGGCCAUAAUUUACUCAUUGUAUCUAUAAAAUGGGAGUUCUCCCCCCUAAUUCUAGACCCUUGAAUUCAUUUUUGAGCUCCAUUUUCUGUAAUUCAUUAUUUAUCUUGUAUUUUAUAUAUAUUUUAAUAAAUUUCAUUUUACCCCUAAUUUAAUUAUGAGUAACUAAUUUUCUUUCAAGCUUGGGUUGAAGGUGAAGUCUCAAUAUGUUCCCUGGUUUUUUUUUUGGUAAAUUUAAUUUUUCUUUUUGACUUUUUGUCGACAGAUAGUAAUAAUCUUGUCUAGAUACCGCACUGGUAUAACUGGCUCCCAAGUGUAGUGUUAUUACUAUUUGGCACGAUAAGUCAUUAACACCAUAUUAAUUAGAGUGUGGUUUAUAAGGAGUGGAAACCCCCCUCAUGAUUUAAUUGGCACUAAUAAAGAAUAUUAAGCCCAUAGUGCAUGUUGAUGCAGAUCCAGAUACCCAAGCAUUUCAUUUUAACAGAUUUUACUUCAAUUUAUUCUCUCCAUUUUAAUUUGAAAUAAUCUAAAUCACUUCUACCACAAAUCCAAUCACCCACUUAGAAAAUUAACUCUAUACACAAUUAAAAUCCACCUUCUCGUGGGAUCGACGCUCAUCACCAUUGAUAUAUUCUACAAUAGAUUCGUGCACUUGCGAGUUCAAUAAAAUUUACAUAACAACAAUAACGUGCAAGAAAAGAGGUUUUGCAAGUUUUUGGCAAUAAUAAGAGUGAUUAUGAUGGAUUGAAUCACCUCAAAAUUGUAAGUACAAAUGAAAUUGAGUUGAAAUAUGCUUUACUAUAGUUGAUAAAUUUUGGUCGUAUUAAUUUGCGUUUUGUGUGCAUAUCUUACACGUUCAAAUGAUAUUCUACAAGGUACCCACGCUUUAUCCCCCAGUAGUUAUACAGGCCGAGCAAUCAGAAUUUUAGGAUGAAAAACAAUGAAAUUUGGAUGAAAACAACAAACAUUUAAGGUGGGCGAUAGCACUGUCCUUAAGAUGCCUCAAGAUGCAAUAUCUCGGUGCAAGAAGGGCUAACAAAAGUAGUUUGAUCUCCACUAUACAAUUUCUACUAUUGUGAUGUUGCACUUGAACAUGAUAAUCUAGAACAACAAAAUGUAUAAUGACGAAAGAAAGGAAAACAUAGAGCAAGAGAGUAAGUUUUCGGAUGACCAUAGUGUGAUCUAUUUGGCUCUUUAAAUAGAUACAAGCCCUAACCCAUUUUUCCUCUCUAAAUUGGAAUUAUAAUUAUAUUUAUUAAAUCCUAAUUCGAUUAGGAAUUGAAUUCUCAAUCUAAUUCGAAUUAAAAUAAAUAAAAUUAAAACAAAGGACAAAAACAUAAUAGAUGGCCAAGCCCUCACAUAUACAUGAAACCCCAUGGGGGGGAGAGGGUCCCCCUUGCGAGUGAGUUAUUGGGUAUGAGCGACCAAUUAAUAGAGUCAUGGAAUGAGCUCUUCUCAUGGGCUUGGUUUCAUGCAAAUGGGCCUCCUCUUCAUAGGCAUGUUACUGCACUUUAUUUGGUUUCUAUAUAAAAAUCAACUUAUACUCUCUUAUUUAAGUAAUGUGGGAUAUUGGUAUUUUAAAAUACCAACUCAAUCUUUAACAAUCCUCCACAUAUUUCAAAAUACUCAAUUUCUUUCGACUUCAUCAUAGUCCAUAGAGUUUAAUGCAUAUGAACUGGUGCCUUUUGGCCAAUGAACUAGCCAUUGAAUACCUAACCAUGUCUCAUAGGAACUUGGUGAAACUGAUAAUUUCUAUAAACCAAUAUUCUCUUUUUUUUUGUAAGACAGAGGACUAGAAGCUCAUAUUAAACUCUCUCAAUGUUUUGUUGUUUUGCGAUUUGGCACUUUAGUAGCCAUGUGCCCUUGUUUUCAUGAGCACUCUAGAGAAGCAUGUUUAACUCUCAUAGGAACUUACCCAAUUCUACACUAACAUAGGUGAACCUCCAUCAAGUAUGUCAUGCAGUUUUGACACACCAUCAUAUAUAAAAAGUGAGUUAUGAAGUUUAUUAAAAGCUCAAUUGCUUAACCUAAAUCACUGCGAUAAACAUUAUCUUGUUCUAGGGAGGAUUUACAAAUAAAGAAAAUAUUUAUAGAAUAAAAAUAAGAUUACAUAAUAUUGAUAAUAAAUAUAAGAUUACAUAAUAUUGAUAGUGUUACAAAACAACAAGUAACUUAUUAAACGUUCUUCAUGGGAUCUCCAAUCACACAGGUAGAGUUACCAUCACUCUUGUCUUUUGAUCUAGACAGUAGUCCCAUCUCCCUUGAUGUGAUCUCUACUUAACUCUUGUUUAGUGUUUUUGGUAGAGGAUUGGUCAAAUUCAACUUUGUCCUUACAAAAUUUAGGCUCAUAAUAUUUGAUUCCAAUAGCUACUUAACGAUACGAUGUCUCAUAAUGUGUAUACUCUUCUUAUUAUAUAUGUCACUUAUAGCUCUUACAGUAGCAACUUGACAAUCACAAUGGAUUGGCGUAGUAGUAGGAUGGUGAGCAAACAUGGGAAGAUUUUCCAAAAGGUUUCGCAACCACUCAGCCUCAAAACAUAUUUUCUCUAAAGCAAUUAGCUUGAAUUCCAUGGUAGAGCAAGCUAUACAUGUUUGCUUGGAUGAUUUCUAAGAUACUGCACCUUUAUCAAGCAUGAAAAUAUAACCUAGUGGAUUUGAGCUUAUUUGAUCAGAGAUCCAAUUUGCAUCACUAUACACUUCAAGUACUUAUGGAGAUCUACCAUAUUUAAGCCUAUAAUCAAUGGUUCCUCUUAAAUAUCUAGCAAUUCUAGCUACUGUAGUCAAGUGAUAGUCGUCAGGUUUUCUACAAUUCAUCAAGUACAUUAGGUUACCAAUUAUUUGGGCAUACAUCACUUGAUCAACACUAUGUUAGGUAUUCUUCUUUAUGUGGGUAUUAUUAUCAUACGUGGAAGGGACAUUGUUUUGCAAUCAUAAUACUUAAAUCUUGUUAACAGUUUUUCAACAUAAUGUUCUUGCAAUAACAUGAGACCAUCACAAACUUUUAUAAUUUUGAUGCUUAAAAUAACAUUUUCCUCUAUCAUAUCUUUCAUAUCAAAAUUAGAUUCAAGCAUCUCCUUAAUCUCAUUAAUAGUUCCAACAUUAGAACUUAAAAUAAGCAUGUCAUCAAUAUAGAGACAUAUGAUGAGAAAAACAUAAGUGUUUAUAGAUUUAGAACAUAUACUUUUGUCUAAAUCAUUAAUCGUAUAUCCAUUGGACAAUAAUACUUGAUCAAAUGUCUCAUGCCAUUGUUUCGGUACUUGUUUUAAGCCAUAUAGAGGCAUAACCAACUUGCACACUUUAUGCUAGAACCUAACAACCUUCAGGUUGAUCUAGAUAGAAACUCCUCAUCUAAGUUUGCAUUGAGAAAGACAAUUUUAACAUUUAUUUGACGCACAUGUAGAAUAUGAAUUGAUGUAAGAGCAAUCAAAACUCUAAUAGAUGCAAUCCGAGUUACAGGAGCAUAUGUGUCAAAAUAAUCUAUAUCUUUCUUCUAUAUGAAUCCCUUGGCCAUCAAUCUUGCUUUAUAUUUAUCAAUAUAUCCAUCAACUUUUAAUUUCUUUUUGAAAAUUCACUUGCACCCAAUAGGUUUUAUACCUAGAGGUAUGUCAACUAAUUCUCAUACACGAUUGCUCAUUAUAGAAUUUAGUUCAUUGUUGAUAGCUUCUUUCCACUAUAGUGCAUCUCGAGAAAUCAUAGUUUUUGUGAAAGUCUGAGGAUCAUUUUCCGCAAGAAAGAUAUAGAAAUCAUCCUGAUGCAUUUUCUUAGUUCCACAUUUGAACUUUCAGAAGAAUUAAUUGUUGAUUCAGUAUAGGAUAGUUGUUUCUCCAUGCUAGUUUUUUAAGAAAAAUAGAUUCAAAGAACUUAGCAUUCUUGGAUUCAAUGAUGGUAUUAGCCUCAAAUGAGAUACCUUAAUCUUGUAACACCAAGAACCUAUAGGCAACACUCUUGUGGGCAUACUCUAUAAACAUACAGUUGAUAGUUUUUUGUCCUAAUCUUAUUCUUUUGGGAUCCAUUUUAAGAACUUCGGCUAGACACCCCCAUAUUUUAAGGUGUGAUAAGUUAUGCUUAUAGCCUUUUCAUAAUUCAUAGGGUGUCUUACCUAUUUCCUUAUAAGGUAUUUUGUUUUGAAUAUGACAAGCAGAUAACAUAACUUCCUCCCACAAAUUCAGCAGUGCCCCAUAACUUAUUAUCAUGGCAUUUACCAUGUUUUUCAAAGUUUUGUUUUACCUUUUAGCUAUACCAUUAUAUUCAAGUGAAUAGGGAGGUAUCACUUCAUGGAUGAUACAAUGAUUCUCACAAUAAACAUUUAACAUGCUUGAAUCAUAUUCACCUCCUUUAUUAGUUCUUGAUCUUUUAAUUGUCUUAUUAAAUUGAUCUUCAACUUCACUUUUAUAGACUAAGAAAUUUUCACCUGCUUUAUUUUUAUUUCUUAAUAGAUAUAAUUUUGUAUAUCUCAAAAACUCAUCAAUAAAAGUAAUAUAAUACAUUUUGUCUCUUCUGAUCAUAGAUUGUUUCAAAUCAUCAAGGUCACUGUGAAUUAAAUUGAGAAGUUCGGUUUCUCUAUAUUGAACUUAUCUACAUGUCUUCUUAGUGGAUUUGGCUUCAACACACACCUUGCAUUUGUCAUUAGAUAAGCUCAAAUUAGACUGUAAACCAAGUUCUCUCAUUUUAUUAAUAUAAGAAAAAUUCAUAUGACUAAGUCUCCUAUGCCAAAAUCAAUAAAGUCAACUACACAAGCAGAAGAAGAAGCCUUUUCAUUUAUUAUAAUAUUGGAUACAUAAAGUUUCAAGAGUUCUCUAGAACAAUACCCUUUUUGUCAUUACAAUUUUAUCACCCUCAAAGGAGACUUUGAACCUAGUUUUGCCCGCAUAAAAACAAAUAAUAGAUUGUAUCUAAUCUCAGGAACAUGGAGUACAUUACUCAAUGAGAGGUUUUUCCAAGAUGUAAGCUUGAGAAGAAUUUUACCUUUGCUUGGGAUUGAAGUAGAUCGAGAAUCACCAACUUAAAUAACUUGCUCUCCCUCCCGCACUAGAUUUAGUCAAAGAAAGAGUGUUUAUUGUUAUAUAUAUGUCUAGUAGCUCCAGAAACAAUCACCCAAUCUUUUCUUCUAUUUACCAUGUUCACAUCAGAGACAACUACAGCAGCAAUGAUGUCAUCUCCUUUUCCUUCAAUCAUAGGCUUUAGGAGGUUUUUUGCUAUCUUCAUUUCUCAUAGCUUUAUGCUUGCAUUGAUUAGCAUAAUACCUACUUUUUCGACAAACAAAACAAUGACCUUUCUUCUUAGCAAUGAGCCUUUUGGAGUUAUUAAGGUGUUUAUUAUUAAGAUUGUUCUGCUUUUUAUUAGGUUGAGGAGUGUUCUCUAUUAGAUUUGGAUUGGAAUAAAAUUCCUUUACUUUAUCGAAUGCAUCUCUAAUUAUGUUCUUCUCUUCAAUCUUAAUAUAUAUAAUAGCAUUUUCAAGACUCACUUGCUUCUUCUUAUGCUUUGAGGUUUUAAUAUUGUUGAGUUCUAACAUUUUUAACCAUUUUUUUCUUAAGUAGUGCCCAUAUCUCAAACGCAUUCUUAUAUUAAUAGUAAACAUCGAAGGUAGAACUAGCAAGAGUGUUCAAUAUUGUGUACUUGUAGACCUUGUUACAAAUAUUCUAAUUCUGGAGUUUCUUGUCAUUAUCUUCAGUGCCCUCUUUUAGUGGUGAUGACUGUAGAUAGUCAGUCAGGUCAUGAACAUCUAAUACAUCAAAGAGCUUUACUUGCCAGUGCUUAAAAUUUUUGCCAUUGAACAAUUCAAUCUUGGAGGUAUUUGGCAAGUUUUUUUUUCCUAGUGAUUAUAGUGGAAGCAACUGCUAGAAGAUCGGCAGUGGGAACAAUAAGUCCAGAGGCUGAGGGAGCAUCAUGUCCAACAACUAAUGAAGACAAAUUUUGUGGUUGAAUAUCACUCAUAUUUGAUCUUAAGAUUGUUGGAAUUUUAGGACAAAAAAAUUGUGAAAUGUGGAUGAAAAAUAGCAAAGAGUAAAGGCGUACGAUAACAUUUUCCUUAAGAUCAAAAUGUGCAUCUCAACAUGCAAUAUCUCAGUGCAAGAGGAAGUGAUGAAAGUGAUUUAAUCUCGAUGUUGCACUUCAACAUGAUAGUCUAGAACAACAAAACAUACAACAACGAAGAAAAGGAAAACAAAGGACAAGAGAACAAGUUUUUGGAUGACCAUAGUGUGCUAUAUUUAGCUCUUUGAAUAAAUGCAAGCCCUAGCCCCUUCUUCUGCAUUAAAUCUGAAUUUUACAUAUAAAAGGAUUUGAUUGAACCAUAAUUUGAUUAGAAAUCAAAUUCUCAAUCUAAUUCGAAUUAAAAUAAAUAAAAUAAAAAGGGCAAAAAUUAAAAGAUGGCUAAGCUGGUGCACAUGCACGAUAGCUCCGUGGGGGAGGUGGGGCCCCCUGCACAUGAGUUAUUGGGCAUUCUCUUUAUGACCUUGUUACCACACUAUAUUUGGUUUCUAUAUAUAAACCAACUUAUACUCUCUUGUCUAAGUAAUGUGAGAUAUUGAUAUUUGAAAAUACCACACUAUAUAAGUGAUGUGAGAUAUUGAUGCCCAAACUUUAUCCCUCAGCAGCUAUACUAGUCGAGCUAUUCGAAAAGAAAUGAAGCUUGGAAGCUUGACAUUAAAAAUUUUGAAGCUGUUAUAAUACUAUACUUACAGUUAAAAAUGUACUAGCACUACCUUAAAUCAAAUUUAUUAUGACACUGCUCGAAUUCUUUCCUCACUAAUUAGAGAAAUAUUUACUUUAUCAACAACAAUAAAGGAGAUAUUUCUACUCAUUUUUAAUUGGAAGAGGAAUAAUCGAGUCCUUAACGUGAGAACUUAAACCCAUGCCCUUACUAAAGUGAGAGUAUAAAAAUUCACCAUUUGACUAAAAAUUUCAAGUUAAAUUAUGGACAAAUCCAGCAUGGGACCAAUUUGGACACAUGCCCCAGCUAGUUUUUGAAUUUUUUUUAAUUAUUUUAAAAAUGUAUUUUAUUUUAUUAUUUAAGUGAUCUAGCAAAAAUAAAAAAUUAUGAAAGUGUCCCAAACAAUUUUAAAGAUUUUAUGUUGCUCCUAGUUUAAAUAUCUAAUUUUAAAUAAUUUAAUUAACUAUUUAAACAUUAUGAAAGUUAAAUCAAGACAAAAGACUGUAGAUAAAACAAAAGAGAUUCAUUUUACACUUUUUACAUUUCUCGUCCUUUUUUUAGUGCUUUGAAUGAAAGGUACUUUAUUUAUUUAUUUGUUAUAGUGGUAGUAGAAUAGUUGAUCAGAGCAAUGCGUAUGCAGCCAUACGUGGAUUUCAUUGUAGUUCCCAUAAAUGAAAGGCACUUUCCUACAAUUAUUUAGUUUUUUAAUAUUGAUCCCUAAAUUCUAACUCUAGUCAAUUCUAAUUUUCAAUUAUUCCAAUUGACCUUUUAUCUAGAAAAUCCCUAGUUUUAUCAUGUAUUCAUGUUAACUCUUUGCGUCACAUUAUAUGAACAUAUUUACUAUCAUAAAAAGAUUUUAGAGAAUAAUUUAAUUUAGAGAAUAAAUUAAGUGAUAACUUAAUUGUAUGCAUUGAAAAAUAUGCUUUUGAUUAUAUUAAUAAUGAAGUUGUUUCACGUUAUUUUCAACAUAUUACAUCCCAUCGAAAAGCCUUCAACAAGGGCAAUUGUAAUGAGUAAAUUUAUUAUUAAUGAAUAUUAGUAUUGUCAUGUUAUAUAUUACUAUAUAAAAUUUUAAAUUAUAUUAUAUUUUAAAUAAAGUACUAAUUAAGAGUGUGCAGUCACACAUAGGGAUGGUAAUUAUCAGACCCGGACGAAUCCGGAUAAUCCGGGCCGGAUUCAACCCAUAUAAGAAAAAUUUAAAUCCAAUAUCCGGAUGUAUUCGGGUCCAGUUCUGAGUUUGUGUGAACUCGUAAAUCCGGAUCCCAAUGCUGAAUAUCUUUAUUUUAAUAUUAAUUUUUUUAAUAUAAAUAGAAACAUCAAAGAAAAAGAAUUUAACUGUGCCCUAGUUUCACUCUCAAAUAGAGGUGGCAAAAAUACCCGCCCGGUCCGGACCCGGACCGUACCCGGGCAUUGCGGGCCGGGUAUUACCCGGCUCGGGUAUGAAGCCGGGUCGGUCUUGGGCAUCACUUGAUAAACCCAGAAUCCGGAUUUUAUUAAAAAAAUUAUAAAAUAUAUAUUAUUUUAAAUAUUUUAUAUUUAUUUGACUUAUUUAUUAUACAUAUAUAAAGUUUUAAACACUUAAAGUUUAUAUUUUCAUGUCAAAUUUUAUUGAAAUAAAUUUAAAACUUAUAAAAUUACUAAAAAAUAAAAAAUAUAUACACAUAAAAUAUUAAAAAAUAUAAAAUUCGAGUACCCGGAUUAAAACCCGGCCCGGACCCGAACCCGGACUGGUUGCAUCCGAGCAGGGUCCGGUCAUGGCAAUACCCGGACCCGGCCCGGGGUUUUGCCAUCUCUACUCUCAAAGUCGCGGCCGCCAAAGCCUUAAAGCCAAAAAUUUCCUCAUCAAAUCACCAUGAAUCGUGCUGUGUUCCUCAUCUUUACCGCCAAAAGCCCAACUCAAAUCAACAUGCUUAACCACCUCCGCGGCCGAUGACUGUGAUACGGGUUGAAAACGGCACCAUCAUCAUCAGCGGCUUGAGGGCGAUUGCGGCUGUGAUGCAGUAUAUAACCAUUAUCCCGAUAUCGGUAUCUUCAGCAAGGCCAUGGGUGUCUCAUGAACAGUUUCAACAAUGAUAUUUUCGAGAAGUUGGCCCAAGAACGUGAUUUCAUUCUCUUUGGGUUCUGGUUAUUGAAAUGGGUAGUGGAUUGUGAUUUGAUGGGAGUGUCAUACAAGGCAAUUGCAAAACAAGUAAAGGCUAAAAAUGGGAUUUUGAAAGUGUUUUUUUUUUUUUCUUUUCCCUUACACGACUGUGGCUUUGAGAAGCUUUGGUUGAGUGAUCCAACGCUCAUCGUCAUUCCUUACAGUGAGUAAAGUUUGUUAAAGUUUUUUUCAAAGCAAAUAAGAGAUUUUAAGUUAAAAAAUAUCCGGGUUUAAAACCUGGAUGUUUCUGGAUUGAAACCGCACCGGACCCAAACUUAAACUAUACGGUUACUAUCCGGACCUGGGAAGAUGAAUUGACAUUCGGGUCUACAACCGGAAAGACCAAACCCGGACCCGGACCUAAAAUUUGCCAUCCUGACUCACACACCUUAUGGAGUACGAUUGCGUACGUAACAAACACCCAUUUGACAGUUGUAAGACCCACAACAAUACUCGUCAAAUGAGAACUUAUCACACAAACAGUUGUAUCCCUGAUCAUAUUCGAUUUUGAAUGUACCCCAACUCGGUUUCGAUCCUGGCUAUUUUCCUGUUAAACUUUUUCAUCUACCUACAAUUGAACGAUGGUUAACCAAAGCACGGUUUAAUAUUAAAUUCAUAAAUUUUAAGAGUACAGAUGUCAUUACUAGAAAUUCUUAUUUACAUAUCCACACGCAUAAUUUUAUUUUUGAUGAAAUUUUAGUGUGUUUUUAGAAAAUAUAAUUAACCGAACCAUACACUCUAUGGUUCUAGAACAAAAUCUUGAGUUGUGUAAAAUAAUAGACCCGUGUUCUCUUUUAACACUACUUGUUGGAGACAGUAUCUGGUCCAUCAAACGAAUGCAGACAAAAAUGAUUUUAUCCGUCAUUUAAACCAAUCUUCCAACCUCAAAGAUACAUACUCUCCCAUUUCUCACAACACUUAAAAAAUUUCUGAGUGUGAAAUGGAAUUGACUCUGAAAUCCGUAGCGUUCACCAUUGUUAUUGUAACAUUGGUAACAUGGGCAUGGAUGGUGCUGAACUGGUUGUGGCUGAGGCCCAAGAAGCUGGAGAAAUUCCUGAGACAGCAAGGUUUAAAAGGCAAUUCUUACAGGCUUCUGUUUGGUGACUUGAAAGAAAGUACCAUCAUGUUGAAGAAAGCAAAAGCCAGACCUCUCAGUUUGGAUGAUGACGCUGCAGUUCGUGUUACUCCAUUCCUUCACAAACUGUUCAAGGAUUAUGGUAUGUAUGUCAGCGGCCUCAUAUUCUCUUUUACUUGUUUCCAAUUUCAGUAGGUAACAGCCUAUCCACUCAUUGGUUGAACGGUGUCAUUAUUUACAAAGUUAAUUUAGAAGGUUCGUUAGAGUUAUAAUUAUAAACUAAAAAUUGGAUUUUGAUUAUAAAUAUCAGUGAAAAGUAUAACAUGAAAAGUUGGUUCUUGAAAAUUUUUAUGGGUUAAAACAUAAUUUUAAUCUCCUUCGAACAAAGAAAAACCUAAUUAUAGGUCUGGGAUAUCGACGUUGCAGCUUUCCUUGGGCUUUAUCCGUUAUUCUUUGUUUAUUAUGAAGAAACUUUAUAUAUUGUGAUAAACGUUAUAUAUCGUGAUAAACUGAUAAACGUUUUUAAACAUUAAUGCUAUGGGAGAAACGUCGGUGAGGUAGUGUGGACUACAAGUGGAUCCCGAUGAUGCUCAGCCAUUUCUUUGUGGGACUACAAGUGGAUCCCGAUGAGGUACCCACUCCUCUGCCAAAUCACAAAACAUGUGUGGCGCUUGAGGUGGUAGGCCACCCCUCGGAAUUUUGUCUCUAAAAGCUACAUGUAUCUAGAGAUUGGGAACUAUCUAGUUUAGCUCGGCUCUGGGUGAAAACCGAACUAAACUAAAAUAAAUUGAUUUAUCAUUUUGUGGAUUAUAAAUCAAUUUGUGGAUUGAAUACGAAUCAAAUGCUAGAAUUGAACUGAAUCGAAUUAAUUUAGUUCGGUUCGAUUUUGUGAUUGGGUUUAGUUUUGAUUUUAUUUAGUCCAAGCAAUUUUACUUGUAUAUUUUUUUUAAUACAAACUUUGCUUGUAUAAUUAUUCAAUAAAAAACAACAUAAUAAUAUAAUAUUACUAUAACAACAAUUUUAAGUCCAUAAAUCCACGAAUAAUAAACUAUGUAAUAGAAUUCAACACAAAUAAAUCAACAUAAUAAAGUCACAACACGAAAUAUACAUAAUUUAGAAAUUCACUACAAAUUACAAAUCCACAACAAUAAAUAAAACAAGAAAGCAACAAUACAAAAUCAUAUAUAGGAGAAAUUUCAAAGUUCCACGUCAAUUUAAAUUUGUGAGUUUUAAUUUUUCUCUCUAAAGCAUUUGGGUUUUCAGUUUAGUUCGAAUUAAACAAACACAAAUUGGUUUGGAGAUUUAUGAAUCAUUUGAUUUUUUACUGCCCCCAACCGAAUGUCUACCCCUAUGAGAGACCAAUAAUUUUCUUGAUAAGAUGGGAUAGUUGCUCUAACUCAACCUGUUGAUGAGCUAUGCCACGUGUAAAAUUCCCAGAGGGAAAAUUGGUCUGUGGAUGGUGUUACUCCCCGUACAGUGCACAAUAGCGUUGUGUAGUUUCAACAUCAUUUGCAAAAUCUUGUGAAAUCACACCAUGAAUGUAACUUCUUACCUUGUAUUAGGCUUAGUUAUUUGGAAUAGAAGUUUAAUGAUUGAAGUAAAAUCAAUUGGCAUUUAUUCUUGACUAAGUUUUGAAUAAAAUCACUAAACUUUUACUGCUUAAAAUGUGGCCAUGCGCAAUGGAGCAUCUGCCUUCUAACUUUUGCAUAUAUAAUGUUAAAAACACUAAUGCAGGUAAGAAUUCUUUCAUGUGGUUUGGUCCGACACCAAGGGUGAAUAUAACGAAUCCUGAUCAAUUAAAAGAGAUAUUUUCCAAGAUCAAUGAUUUUCCAAAAAUCAAUUCAAACCCACUUGCCAGGAUACUGGCAGCUGGCUUGGUUACUUAUGAGGGUGAGCAGUGGGCUAAACACAGAAAAAUUAUCAACCCAGCAUUCCACCAAGAGAAGCUCAAGGUUAUUAAUUUCUUUAUCUGUUUACAUAAAUCUCAUUGGAAAAUUCCAUAUUCCCUUCAUUUUUCAUUUUGAUUUCUUGCUCUCAUUACAGCUUAUGUUGCCAGCAUUCUGCCAAAGUAGUAGUGACAUAAUUACAGAGUGGGAGAAGCUAAUGUCUACCGAAGGAUCAUGUGAGUUGGAUGUAUGGCCUUAUCUUGCAAAUUUGACAGGGGAUGUGAUUUCUCGAACUGCUUUUGGGAGUAUUUAUGAAGAAGGAAGACGGAUUUUCCAGCUCCAAUCAGAGCUAGCUGAACUCACAAUACAAGUUAUUCGUUCAGUCUAUAUUCCAGGAUGGAGGUACAUGUACAUUUCCUUGUUAGAUCAUAAAUGCUUAGUUAUAUUUCCGCUUUGAUUAACAUGGUGGGAGUUAAUUUUUUUUUUUUUUGGGGGGGGGGGGGGGGGCAAUUACUGAGAAUAAGAUCCACGCAACUCAUUUUGGUUUAGAUAACUCAGAUUGUGCCAUUAUAGUGUUAAUCUAAAAUGGUUCGGUGGAUUUCUGACGUUAAAUAUUAGUAGAUUAUAAUUCAAAAUAAAUAAAUAAAUAAAGACUAGGGGUUGAUUAAGUCAUUUAGUUAUUAUCUCUCUCAUAACUGUUUCUAUGCUUAUUUGUAGGUUUUUGCCUACUAACAGAAAUAAGAGAAUGAAAGAACUUGACAAGGAAAUAAGUACUGCACUCAUGGGAAUCAUAAAAAACAGAGAGAAGGCAAUGAAAGCAGGGGAAGCUGCAAAUGAUGACUUGUUAGGCAUACUGAUGGACACCAAUUUUAGAGAAACCGAAGAACAUGGAAAUAACAAAAAUGUUGGAAUGAGCUUCAACGACGUGAUGGAAGAGUGUAAGCUAUUUUACUUUGCCGGCCAAGAGACUACCUCUGUUUUGCUUAAUUGGACAAUGGUGCUUUUGAGCAAGCAUCAAGAUUGGCAAGAACGUGCAAGACAAGAGGUUUUGCAAGUUUUUGGCAAUAAUAAGCCAGAUUAUGAUGGAUUGAAUCACCUCAAAAUUGUAAGUACAAAG
rnacentral:lncRNA from 1 species